CCACGUGAUCCUUGCAUGCAUAGCACGUGUGCAACACGCGUGUCGCUUGCUGAUUGGACCGACGGUGCGUUCCAAUGAUCUUCCGACGCCUUGCUUCUGACUCAUCAUCCGAGCCUCGCUGGCCCAACCCGAAGGCGCCGCGUGUCCUUCGCGUGUCCAAACCCUCGCAUACGUGUCCGAAGCUCCUGCUGCCGCGUGUCUCGCCUGAUGACUCCUCUUCUAAGCCGACUUCGGAUCUCACCCUAUAAAUAGAGGGCUUGCGAGAUCUUCCCGCUACUUUUGGAAAAUGGCCAUUUUCACCCCUUUUUAAAUAUUUUAGCCAUUUUUGCUUCCCCCGAUCCCCCGAGAUCAUUUCCAACGCCCAGAACAUGUCCCAGAGUGCCCGAAGGAUCGGAAAAAUUAUUUUUUCGGUUUUGAAGCCUGACCUUUCGCAGAGCCCGGUUUCUCAAUAAAACUCUCGAUUUUAUUAGAAACGAUCGUUUUAGGAAAUGAAUUGUUGCCCGAUUUUCAUUAAAUCAAGUGAGUGUAUAGUCACUUUCACCUUACACAUAGAUAUGAAGUAUUUACCUUAAAAUACGUGUUAUGUGUAAAUAUAUUAAUUGUUUAUUUAAAGUGACUGUUGAAUUGAUAUUUUAUACAAUUUUUACACUGUAUAUAUAUUUUUAUCUACAAAUAUGUUGGGUAAAACAUGGGUAGAUGAAUUAGAUGAUGUGUGACGUAAUAAAAGUGUUGAGAGGUAUCGAUGUUAAAAUGAUCUAGUCAUCUAGCAAAGUAUAGACAACGGCUGCAGACUAUUUUAGAUAGCCCAGUGGAACGUUAGUAGACUUGUAAUAGGUACGUAUGUUUGAACUAUAUGUUCAUUAGGUACUUUUGAACUAUGUGUUCAUCCAUUAGUUCUUCCUUUUGACACUAUUAUGUGUCGGGGUACGGGAGCGUACAGGAGUACUUUAUCAGUAUUUUCCCUAUACUUUUUGUUGGGUCGUGUUUUGUAUAAUAUGUUGCAUCUAUUGGGCUCGUUAGCUAGUCCAUUUUUGUAUCUCCGGUAUGGGCCUGUCCAUCCGUGAGUUUAGUAGAGUUGAAUAUAAAUAUAGGUGCUUGCAUGCAUCUUAGGUUAACGAUAGAAUAGAACGAUCAAAGCAUUAUUAAGAAGUUUAUUAUUAUCGUUCUUGUAACCCUAAAUCCUCUACAGCGGAAGUUCUUAGUCGAGCUCUGCUGAGGAUUGUUUGAUCUAAUCAUUUGACAUAUUUUGAUCCACUCUUGUCUUAUUUAUUGUUUUGUGUUCAUCGCAAUACCUGUUACAAAGAUCUAAUCGAUCUUCACGUUUGUUAUUAUAACUUAACAAUUGGUAUCAGAGCAGGAGGCUGUGUAAUUCAUACACAUCUUUUCUGUGAAAAAGGUUGCGAUUAGGGUUAUUCCGCAUUAACUAAUAUUUAUUGAGCCGUCAUCCCAUAAUUGACAUAACUCAGCAUUUAUUCGUUUUUCCCUAAUUUAAUAUAUUACAAGUCUGAUCUUUUAAACAGGUUAUUCGAUCUAGCAUGGACGAGUCACAAUCAAAUCCCAUUAACAUCUCAAACAGCAUUGGAUCAACGAUGAAGAUUCCCAUCCUUUAUACCUAGGAUUACGAAGUCUGGGCACAUCACUUUGAAGAUUAUGUCAUUGGAUCUGAGGACAACGGAUAUCUUAUUUGGGAAGCAAUCGUGUCUGGACCAUUCGCUCAUUCAGCAACAUCAAGAAUCAUUAAAACUCAGAAAGAGUAUAAUGAUCUGUUGAAAGAUGUAAAAGAUAUUGCCCAAGACGAAAAAGAUAAAUUUCAGUGCAAUAUUAAAGCAUUGAGACUAAUCAGAUUCGCUCUUCAAUCUGAUACUUUCAGGCUAGUGAGUUCGUGCAGCACUGCUAAAGAAAUAUGGGAUAGGCUGCGAGAGUUAUAUUCCACAGACGAAGAUCUCGAGCAUUCCAUUCAAACCUUACUUUUGUCCGAGUUUGGUGAAUUCAAGCAGAGUCCUGAAGAAACUGUAACUCAGACGUUCGAUCGCUUCAAUCAUCUUCUUAGUAAGAUGAUUAAACAUGAUAUUGAAAGGAAGUUGAUUGAACAAAAGGUUACGUUUUUAAACGGUCUUAGAUCUGAGUGGAGAGCGGUUGUGUCCACUGUUAAAGCACAUGAGCAAUUCAAAUCUUACUCAUUGGCAAAGCUGGUAGGGAUUUUGAAAUCCCAAGAAAAGAUUGUCUUGCAGGAGAAAAAUGUAGUUUCAAGCUUGGGAUCAUUGGCCCUUCUGUCCAAAAGCAAAGGUGUGAUGGAAGAUGAAGACCUUAACUUAGAGGACUAUGACCUUACCUCUGAAGACUAUGCAAUGAUGGUGUCAAACCCGAAGAGGUUCAUCAAGAAAAGGUUUCCUACCAAUAAGAACCGAAAUUGGCAGGGAAGUUAUAGUUCUGAAAAGGUCAGGGAAGAACCGAAGGCAGAAGAACCAAAGAAGGAACCGAAAGCUGAAGGAGAUUCGGGUGUGAACUGCUACUAUUGUGGAGGAAAGAACCACUAUGCCAAAGAUUGUGUCCUCAAGAAAAUGGCAGAAAAGGAUGAGGAGAAAGAUGAAGAAGCUAUGUUAAUGAAAAAGCUGGAAGAGAUCAAGAAAAAGAAAGCUGUCACUAACCCUUCAAUGAAUGCUUUAAUUGUGCAGGGUUCGGUAGCAGAUGAUGAGUUCGGUGGCGUGGAGGUCUGGUCAACCGACUCUGAGGAUGAUGAAGUCAGAAAGCCAUCUCAUGGAAAGGCUUAUGUUGCGAAAGGUGAAGGAAGCGGUGGAAAGUGUUUGAUGGUGUCGGAUGUAUCUCAAAUGAGGGGAUACAACACAGACGGUGGGAAUGAAGACACGAAGGAGCGAGAGGACUUGUGCUUCACAGCAAAACCUCUCAGCGUGCAGUUUAAUGAGCUUGAUGAAUUAAUCAAGAAGGUACAAUCCAUUUUUGUUUCAUUCAAAGUCCCACAAAAUUCAUAUGAAAAAGAAUUAAAAAAUGUAAAUUCAAGAAUCUCUCAUCUAGACAGCAGUUUAACUCAAACACGGGUCACCAAUUCUAACCUAACUGACCAAUUAAGCAGGGUGUCUUCAAAGAGUGAGGAACGGAGGAUGUGGAUCGAGCUGAAGGAGUCGGAGUUAAUCAAAUCCAAGGACGAAAACAUUUAUUUACAAAGAGACAAUUUGAAACUUUUAAAACAGAGAAAUGUCUUUUGUUUAAUUGCUAAGCGUCUUUACACUAAUAUCACUCAACUUCAUUUGAACUGUGAAAUAGGGCAGAAAAUUCAUCGCAUGAUUUUGCCCUUCCUUGAGUUUAAGGAAGAUGAAAUUGACGCAGAAGCAUAUAAUUGCGAAAGUGUAGUUUCGUCUGAGGAUGUAAAUCCGACGUAUAUGUAUGGUCUAGACAAAAUCGAAUCUUUCAUAAAGUCCAAGGACCAUAAGGACAUGCUGAAAAAUCUUUUGGAUGAAAAUGACAAACUGAAACUAAGGACCGAAACCAUACAAAAGUUUGACUCAUUGAAUGCCAACUUGAGCUCAGAAAAUAAAAUUGAUGUUGAAAAUGCAUCUGAGCUUAAUGAGGAUGAUGAUAUGAGUGAAAUUUCUGUAGAGGAUGUAGUUGACUGUUCUGAGUUUGUCAAGAGCGAACCCGAAAACCACAAAAAUCUUAUUUCAGAAAAUUCUGUGGAGUUUGCUCGUUUGUCCCACCAAAAGUCCCCGAUCCUUGAAGAAAAAGCUGUUGUAUACCAAAAGGUAAGGACGACUCCAAAUCAGGUAUAUAAGGUCACAGGAGUAACCGAACAUCAGACAGCCGAACUCACAUCCAUUGUAAAUGAAGAUAAUGCUGAUGGCUGUGAUGAGUUCUUCUGGUCUGCCCCUAUCGACAAUGCUGAUGAAACCGUUGGUUUGUCGGAACGGACAUCCUGGAAAACCAAAGGCAGAUAUGUACCAGAGCCUUUGAAUAAGCCUGAUAACUUUGACAUGCCAAGUACUAGUGGUACAAAAGAUGUUCCUGAAGAAAAAGGAGAUCCUGCAAAAGAAGUCACUCCUUCAAGCGAAACUUCAUCAGUUCAGUGUGAACCGGCUGACAAAAAGCAAAAGCAAAAUGCAAAUAUCCAUUGACAGCCGAAGCAAGUGAAAAAUCAGAAGCAGCAAAGGAAUAUAAGAUACAAGAAGAAUCUCUCUGAACGAAAACAGUUUUGGCAAUCUCAAAACGCCCACUUCUCUUAUCAUGACAGAAAUUCGAAGUCAGAGAAAAGUACUGUUAGAUCGCAAGAAAAUAAUAACAACCGAAGGGAGAGGUUCGGUUCUGAGGGUAAUAACAACCGAAAGGAUACGUUCGGUUCUGAAAAUUAUGAUAACCGAAGGCAAAGGUUCGGUUCAGAAAACACAAGCUACCGAAAGCAUAAGUUCGGUUCUGAGAGCAAAAGCAACCAAAGUUCUAGGUUCGGUACCACUAAUGAUCAAAAACAAAAGGGUCACUUAGAACCUCAAGUCAAGAAAACAUCUCAGUCUAAAUUCUCUCGUUCUACUUCUUCUAAUUCUUCUAAUUCCUCUCAACCACAUUCUAAAUUCAAUUCUGUUCGCACUCAAAAACCUAAAUCUUCAACAGAUCUGAAAGGAAAAUCGAAGGUUUCUUCAGUCGAAACAAAUCAAAAUCAUCCCAAAAUCAAAAUACCUAAACCAGAAUCCAAACCGAAAGCAACAAAUCCCAAUAAAAUUAAGGUUUUCACCAUUAAAAAGAAAGAUGAAACAACUUUAAUAAAAAGAACAUAUCUUGUUGACAUCUCUCUUACUAUUCCUGUUCCUGUGAAAGGCUCACGUGGACCCAAGAAACUUUGGGUUCCUAAAUCUGCUUAAUUUUUGCAGGUUAUCAGUGACGAGCAGUUUGACGAAGAAUGGUAUAUUGACAGUGGCUGCUCACGUCACAUGACAGGAAGGAAGGAAGAGCUGAGGGAAUUUCGGUCUCUUUCAAACGGUGGAAAUGUCAAGUUCGGGAACAACUCAUUCGGCACGAUAAAAGGCUAUGGAAUGAUAACAAAUGGAGAUUUCACAAUCAGAAAGGUUGCAUACGUUGAAGGACUGCAGCACAACCUCAUUAGUGUAUCUCAGCUUGUUGGAGGUACCGGUCUCAAGGUCUCUUUCGACGAUGAGGGUUCAGAGAUAAUUGAAAAGAAAACAAAAAGAGUAAUUCUCAAAUCGGAGCGCAAAGGCGAAAUGUUUCCCCUGAAUCUCAAACCCAUCAAAGGAAAUCCAGCUAUCUGCCUGUUAUCCAAAGCACAAUCUGACGAAAGCUGGCUGUGGCACCGAAGGCUCUCUCAUCUCAACUUCAAGGAUAUCAACAAACUUGUCACAGGUGGUCAUGUUCGAGGUCUUCCAUUGCUCAAAUUCGAUCGAGAACAUUUAUGUGCUGCGUGUGAAAUGGGGAAGCAGAGUCGUCAAAGUCACCCAUCGAUUGUAAACACUAAAGUUGUUGAACCACUAGAGUUAAUUCACAUUGACUUGUGUGGUCCAUCAUCUAUCGAAAGCAUCGGCGGUAGCAAGUAUAUUCUUGUCAUUGUUGAUGACUUUUCACGUUUUACAUGGGUGUUCUUUCUGAAGCACAAAUCUGAAGCAACUCUCAAGCUAAAGAUGUUUAUCAAGCAGGUUGAAGUGCAGCUGAGGAAAGUCGUUCGCAACAUCAGGAGCGACAAUGGGCUGGAGUUCAAAAAUAAAGAAUUCGAAGACUUCUUGGCAGAAAAAGGAACCAGUCACAACUUCUCAGCUCCCUACACCCCUCAACAAAACGGGAUUGUCGAAAGACGAAACCGAUCUUUGUGUGAGGCGGCCCGAACCAUGCUAAGUUUUGCUUCUUUACCUUUAUAUUUUUGGGCUGAUGCUAUUGCUGCAGCAUGUUUUACGCAGAACAGGUCCUAUCUCAAUAAACGCUUUAAUCUCACUCCUUAUGAGAUCAUCAACAACAGGAAGCCAAAUGUCAAAUUCUUCCACGUAUUCGGCUCACGGUGUUUCAUCUUCAACUCUAAAGAACAUCGUAACAAGUUCGACGUCAAAGCCGAUGAAGGGAUUUUCCUGGGAUAUUCUCUCACUUCGAAAGCCUAUCGAGUAUUAAACAAGCGUUCGAGGAAGAUAGAAGAAACUUAUUAUGUGACUUUUGAUGAUAGCUAUGUCAAAAAGCUGAAGGCCAGUGAAGACACAGUUGGAGAAAUUUUUUCUCAAACAGGCCAAGUCACAGCCUCGAUUGCAAAUCUGUUUGAGAAGUUUGUUGAGUUAUUCGAUGAACCAGAGAAGGCUACUCUCUCGGAAGCUAGUGCAGCAGACAACAAAGUAGAUCAUCUGAAGCAACUCAUCGAAGAUGCUGCCAAGCAAAUGAAUGAAGGAGGAUCAAGUCCAAACGACCCGCCACAACACGGUGCUUCAGUUGAGGGGGAGGAUCCACCUUCUUCAACACAGCCGGGCUCACAUGUUGAGGGGGAGAACUGUUCUUCAGCUGCUCCCGAAAGCCAAUCUGCACCCGAAAGUCCUGUGGUACCCGAAAGCUCAAAAACACCCAAAGGUACUGCAACACCCGAAAGCUCAACACCACCCGAAACUCCUGUAGCUCCGGAAAGUCAAGAUACACCUGAAAGCUCAUCUGUCGAGGGGGAGAAUGCCGAUAUGUCUUAUGACGAUGAUAGUCAAUCUGAACUAGAAGAGAUGGUAAAUGCUGAAUUGGAUCCAUCCUAUGAUCCAAAUUACCCUCCUCUUGUCAAAUGGACCAGAGAUCAUCCUGUUUCACAGGUUGUCGGUAAUGUCUCUGAAAAGGUCCUGACCCGAUCUCAACUAAAGGCAAAGCAAACUUCCUUAUUUUCAAAAGUAGAGUUCUGUAUGUUUAACUCCUUCGUCUCAAAAGUUGAACCAAAGACAGUUAACACUGCUCUUGAUCACUCCGAUUGGGUUCAAGCUAUGCAAGACGAACUUAAUGAAUUCGAAAGAAAUAAAGUUUGGCGCCUCAUUCCAACUCCUCAAGAUGCCUCGGUUGUUGGUCUCAAAUGGGUCUUUAGAAAUAAAAUGGACAAGGAAGGCAAUGUGAUAAGAAACAAAGCUCGUCUAGUGGUGAAAGGAUACUGCCAGGAGGAAGGAAUCGACUAUGAGGAAACUUUUGCUCCUGUAGCUAGGCUGGAAUCUGUUCGAAUAUUUCUUGCCUAUGUUGCACACAAGAACUUUGAGGUCUACCAAAUGGACGUAAAGUGUGCAUUUCUAAAUGGAGAGCUCGAAGAAACGGUGUACGUGGAGCAACCUCCUGGAUUCGUCAAUGAAAAAUACCCCAAUCACUGUUAUAUUCUGGACAAAGCGGUAUAUGGACUGAAACAAGCACCGAGGGCCUGGUAUGAAACGCUAACCAAGUUUUUAAAGAUGUCCAAAUUCAAACAAGGUUCGGUUGACCCAACCUUCUUUCGUAAGAAGGAAGGUAACCACCUUAUGAUUGUUCAAAUCUAUGUCGAUGAUAUCAUCUUUGGCUCAACGAAUCCUAGCUUAACGGCUGAAUUCAGAAAGCUGAUGGAGACUAAAUUUGAAAUGAGCUCAAUGGGUCCAAUUAACUUUUUCCUUGGUUUAAAUAUUAGACAGGGACCCGAAGGCAUCUUUAUUAACCAGGAAGCUUACACAAAGACUCUCCUUGCUAAAUUUGGCAUGAUGGGAGACUCAAAGGUUAAAGUUCCAAUGGCGUUCGGACCAAGCUCACUCCAUCCUUGGAUAAGCCAGCAGUCGACAUUACGCUAUAUCGCCAAAUGAUCGGUUCUUUAAUGUACCUUACUGCUAGCAGGCCUGAUAUAAUGUUUUCUGUUUGUUACUGUGCUAGAUUUCAGGCAAAUCCCCGUGAACCUCACAUGCUUGCAGUGAAGAACAUACUCCGGUAUCUCAAGCGAACUACCUCUCUCGGCUUAUGGUAUCCAUCCAACUCAGGUUUCUUCGUUCAAGCCUAUUCAGAUGCAGACAUUGGAGGUUGUGGACUAGACAGGAAAAGCACCACUGGAGGCUGCCAAUUCCUUGACGGGAAGUUGGUUAGUUGGCAAUCAAAGAAACAGACCUGUGUGUCUCUGUCUACCGCUGAGGCAGAAUACAUCGCAGCUGCCUCUUGUACUUCUCAAGUUAUUUGGAUCCAAAGCCAAGUCAGGGACUAUAGACUCAAUAUGAAAAAGAUCCCACUAUAUUGCGACUCUGAAUGUGCAAUUAGGAUCUGUCAUAACCCAGUGCAACACUCGAAGACGAAGCACAUAGCACUGAGGUAUCACUUCAUUAAGGAUCAUGUGGAAGAUGGGAACGUCGAAAUACACUUUGUUCGAACCACUGAUCAACUGGCUGACAUCUUCACCAAAGCUCUUCCUGAAGCAUCUUUUAACAAAAUACUACAAGGGCUAGGUAUGAUGGAAUCAGAGUCAGUACCAAAAAUUACCUCUUAAAGCUCAAAAGCAAGAAGCGAAAUAGACCGAACGUUCGGGUUCGGGUCUUGUGCUAAUGUACCGAAAUGAACCGAACGCUCGGGUUCGGUUGCAUUAUCUGCUUUUCGCUCAUCACUCAAAGGUAGUUUCCUUGGUUGUAGAUCUUAUGUAUAAAUUUUCCAUAUUCGUUUCUCUUAUUGUCAAAGUUAUUCUCUUUUUCAAAUCUAUUUUCUUUGGCGACCGAAAUCAACCGAUCGUUUGGGUUCGGUUCCAAAAUUUUUCUCACCCGAAAUAGACCGAACGCUCGAGUUCGGUUCCAAAGUUUUUCUCAACCGAAAUAGACCGAACGCUCGGGUUCGGUUCCCAAAUUUUUUUUUGUGUGUCUUCAUUUUUUUUAUUAUCAAAAAUUACAAAAAUAUUUUUUUCUUUCAUAAAUUCAAAAACUCCUACAAUAUUUUUUUACCUUGACUUUCAUUUUUUUAUUUUAUUUUUCUUUAUUCAUUUUUUUUGUGUGGGUAUAUAAUUUCAUUAGCUAAGUGUCCCUAGAAGCAUGCUGCUGUAUGUGUCCAAAGCCUCACCUGAUUCUGAAUAAUAGGCCUUACUGACUUGGUAUAAACAAACCUUGUCUUCCCAAUUAGGCUUUCUUAUUUAUUCUAAUCAUGAGCUACCUAACUCUCUUCUCACAUGAGAUAUGAGUUUUCUGCUUGGUCCUAAUCUUUAUAGCAGAGGUACUUUGAUUUCUUUACACCAUCUAUGUUGCAUUUCUCCAUCACAUUCGCUUCACAAACGUAACCCUUGAGACUCUCAGAAAUUACCACUGAGGUUUAUGGUUGCACAAUUUCUGUGUUCAUGAUCUUAGCUUCGUGUCACUACGUGCUAAGUGAAACCCAAAAUUCAAUACCCAUUAUGCAUUGACGGUGAACAAUUAAUUUGCUCAAGCUUUCACUAAUGAAUUGACGAAGGUACCACAUGAAAUCUCUAAUUUUCUUUUGAGUGAUUCCUAUGAAAUUGUUAACACCCAUAACAUUUCUUCCCUUGGAAUCCAGUUUUAAUUUUUGUUGAGAUUUUAUAAAUUUCCUAGCCAAAUUAACAUUAUCUCCAACCUACUUGUUCAACAGACUACACCGGUCUCACAAGUACUUCGUUCGAUUUCUGUCUUAUAUCAAGAUUAGGAAUUUUGAAUCGAAGCGAUAUCCACCCUCAUAAGCCUAAUUAAAAGAAGCCUUUCAACACUUCUUAAUAAGUGUCUGAUCGUUAUUCAACGGGAAACCACACAAACACUUUAAAGUCUCUCUUGACUUUGAAGGAAGAGAUUCGUGCCCGGGAUCAUUUGUUUCGUGUCUUUAUUGACAUCACAUAUUUUCCCAAAAGUGUUGCUUUAUUUCUUUUCUUUUACACCCUAAGCACGAAAAUCUUUGAUUUUCCAAAAUUCAGGUUCUAUUAAUUACAAGGCAUUUUAAAUGGAUUGGUGAUUUAUUAAAGGAUGUGGUAAAUAUUGAUCCACGUGGGCGAAUUUUUUUUUAAANNNNNNNNNNNNNNNNNNNNNNNNNNNNNNNNNNNNNNNNNNNNNNNNNNNNNNNNNNNNNNNNNNNNNNNNNNNNNNNNNNNNNNNNNNNNNNNNNNNNNNNNNNNNNNNNNNNNNNNNNNNNNNNNNNNNNNNNNNNNNNNNNNNNNNNNNNNNNNNNNNNNNNNNNNNNNNNNNNNNNNNNNNNNNNNNNNNNNNNNNNNNNNNNNNNNNNNNNNNNNNNNNNNNNNNNNNNNNNNNNNNNNNNNNNNNNNNNNNNNNNNNNNNNNNNNNNNNNNNNNNNNNNNNNNNNNNNNNNNNNNNNNNNNNNNNNNNNNNNNNNNNNNNNNNNNNNNNNNNNNNNNNNNNNNNNNNNNNNNNNNNNNNNNNNNNNNNNNNNNNNNNNNNNNNNNNNNNNNNNNNNNNNNNNNNNNNNNNNNNNNNNNNNNNNNNNNNNNNNNNNNNNNNNNNNNNNNNNNNNNNNNNNNNNNNNNNNNNNNNNNNNNNNNNNNNNNNNNNNNNNNNNNNNNNNNNNNNNNNNNNNNNNNNNNNNNNNNNNNNNNNNNNNNNNNNNNNNNNNNNNNNNNNNNNNNNNNNNNNNNNNNNNNNNNNNNNNNNNNNNNNNNNNNNNNNNNNNNNNNNNNNNNNNNNNNNNNNNNNNNNNNNNNNNNNNNNNNNNNNNNNNNNNNNNNNNNNNNNNNNNNNNNNNNNNNNNNNNNNNNNNNNNNNNNNNNNNNNNNNNNNNNNNNNNNNNNNNNNNNNNNNNNNNNNNNNNNNNNNNNNNNNNNNNNNNNNNNNNNNNNNNNNNNNNNNNNNNNNNNNNNNNNNNNNNNNNNNNNNNNNNNNNNNNNNNNNNNNNNNNNNNNNNNNNNNNNNNNNNNNNNNNNNNNNNNNNNNNNNNNNNNNNNNNNNNNNNNNNNNNNNNNNNNNNNNNNNNNNNNNNNNNNNNNNNNNNNNNNNNNNNNNNNNNNNNNNNNNNNNNNNNNNNNNNNNNNNNNNNNNNNNNNNNNNNNNNNNNNNNNNNNNNNNNNNNNNNNNNNNNNNNNNNNNNNNNNNNNNNNNNNNNNNNNNNNNNNNNNNNNNNNNNNNNNNNNNNNNNNNNNNNNNNNNNNNNNNNNNNNNNNNNNNNNNNNNNNNNNNNNNNNNNNNNNNNNNNNNNNNNNNNNNNNNNNNNNNNNNNNNNNNNNNNNNNNNNNNNNNNNNNNNNNNNNNNNNNNNNNNNNNNNNNNNNNNNNNNNNNNNNNNNNNNNNNNNNNNNNNNNNNNNNNNNNNNNNNNNNNNNNNNNNNNNNNNNNNNNNNNNNNNNNNNNNNNNNNNNNNNNNNNNNNNNNNNNNNNNNNNNNNNNNNNNNNNNNNNNNNNNNNNNNNNNNNNNNNNNNNNNNNNNNNNNNNNNNNNNNNNNNNNNNNNNNNNNNNNNNNNNNNNNNNNNNNNNNNNNNNNNNNNNNNNNNNNNNNNNNNNNNNNNNNNNNNNNNNNNNNNNNNNNNNNNNNNNNNNNNNNNNNNNNNNNNNNNNNNNNNNNNNNNNUAUUUCUCUCCAUAAUGUAUGGUAUCUACAAUGGCAUCAACAUGGAUUAUGGGUCUGUUCUAUGGCAACAACUCAUCCAGAGUCUCUCCUCUACCUCCAGACAUUCAGAGAUUUCGUAUGCUAGGUUCUGGACUCUUAUCACGAAAUGGGUGAUGGACAAGUACCACGUCCCCAUUGUCGCUGGUGCUCCAAUGUCUUCGAUUGGUACCUUCCAUACCACGAAGAUCAUUGUGUCGGACGCUUCAAAGUUUCCGUUCAACGGGUCUAUUCCGGAAACCAUGUAUGGGGAUGUUCCUGCUGACAGCCGGAUUAUCCAGACGUACAAAGGGUUCAAGCGUUCUGGUUCGAGGGAUCUUACUCCAGAGAUGUUGAAGUCAAUACAUGACGCCGACAAGCCUGCUCCAAGAGGCAAAAAGGCUGAUAAGGGGAAACAGGUGGCAAAAGGAGCAAAAGGCCCAUCUCCAAAGAAGAGGAAACCCACCAAGCUUGCUCAGUCUCCACAGCAAAAGAGGAGAAAAACCCAACCACGACGAAAGUUAAUUAUCGCUUCCUCCUCAAGCGAGUCUGAGGGUGAGAGUUCAGAUUCUGAUGACUCUCCACGUGGCAACACUCCACCCAGAUCUCCUACCCCAGAAGUUCAUGCAUCUACUUCUCCAAUUUCCUCUCCACCUAAAACCAUUCCUAUUUCUAUUCCCCCCAUAACUUCCACUACUUCAAUACCACCCACUUCAAUCCCAAUACCAACACCAAUAUUCACCGACGCAACCACAACAUCCACUGCAGAUGUUAGAGCCAACGUAUCUGAUACGGGGGUUCAUACUGAUGCACCCGAAACCACUCCAGCACCCGAAACCACAAAAGCACCCGAACCUACACCAACACCCGAAACAACCCACCACGAAUCUACCCAUACUCCUACACCACCACCUUCUCCUGGUCAUGCUUUAGAGGGAGAAGAACCAUUCCUUGGCGGGGAAGAUAUGACGUUUGACUCGGUUUACUAUAGUCCGUUUCAAGUACAGAGUGAUGACGAUGACGACGCUCCUGUCACAAAAAGACAUCUCAAGGAGCUCCAUGACAAGAUUGACUUGCUCAUCGCCUCCUCUUCCACUUCUCAGUCAUCCCUUUCUGAAGAUGCAGUUCAGAAGAUUGUUGACGCCUUCUCUAAAGCUCAGCAAGAUUCCAUUGCUUCUGCAACCUCCGCUAUAGAUGCCUCCACAAAAGCCUGUCAGGCUGCGACCAAAAAAGUCGAUAAACUAUUUUCUGAUGCCUCUUCUCUGUUAAAGUCUUUACAGGAGAGUGCAAAUGCCGCCAAGACUAUGUUGGAACCCAUUGUUCACCAGCUAGCAACGUCAGUCUCCACUGGGUUGAAGUCCUUCGCUUCUUUUCGUCAAAUGCUUUCAGACGACAACUCAGCCUUUUGCACUACCAUUGACGAGCAUCUCUCGAAGCUACAAGAAGAUUUGGCUGCUGAGAACUCUCUUAUGGAUGUUCUUGCAAAGAAGACCACUGCUCUGAAGGUCAAGAGUGUUCAACUCUCCAAUUCUCAACAGGAGAUUGACUGUCUUCGGUCCGAAAGGGAGGUGAUAAAGUCGUGUGUUUUGGAUGUCCACUCUGCCAUCUCCAACAUCCUCGAAGCACAUGAUCCUAUUCUUAACUAUACUGUGAGGCGUGACCUUGCAGAGAAGCUCGCUCCCGUCCUUGCUCUGCUCAGCAAACUCAAAGGGCUCCUUGAUUUCGUGUCCAUUCCGAAACAAGGGGGAGAGAAGGAAACAAUGUCUCAACCACCUCCUACUUCCACAGCUACUCAUACUACCGAACCUCCUCCAGUAGGCCAAGCCUCCGGUUCUGGUGUGAAAGACAAAGGCAAAAAGAUUGCUGAGGAAGAAGAAGAAGAAGACAAAGAAACAAUCGCCGACUUGUUGAAGCGUAGAAGUCGACGCAAUGAGGCUGAUAUCAGUGCUCGUGUGGCAAGAGAGGCUGAAGAAGCCGAACGUAAACAGAAGGAAGCCCACGACCUUCUUGAGAGUAAGAAAACUCUUUUUCCUGCCUGGACUCUCGAGAGAAUGAUAAAAGAAGCCAUUGACACACCGAGUAUCUUGUGGCUAAAACCUGUAAUCUCUCUUGAUUGUUCCAACACUGUUGACUCUCAGUUUGACAUGCCACUGACCCGAAAGGCGUUCAUCUUUCAUGCCUUCUCCAACGUUUCAGAGUUCCCUCAUCCUCAUCCACAGGUUGAUCGGGACUUAAUCGAUUUCUAUCUGAAGGCUGCUCAACCUCAGUAUCAGACUUGGAGCGCUCAGAAGAUUAUCAACGUUCGGGUCUUGAAGCCGUAUAGUGAAGGGAACUUCAUUAACAUUCGGUUCAAGGUACUUCGGGGAUCUGCCAAAACCGAACAUGCUAUUUCCCUUGCAGAUCUUCCAAACCUUAAUCCCCAUGAUUGGAUUAUCUUGCACAACAUCCUUCUCACCAACGAAGCUGAAUACGGUCCGAUCAUCGACCAUUUCAAGAGGAUGCUCGUGUGCUACAUCAUGGAAGUUGCACUGAUGGAUCAGGAGAUUGCAAGCGUAUUUAAGAAGAAACCAACAAUAUCUCCUGUUGGCGCUGCCAGUGAUCUCAACCAAAUGCAGAUGGGUAAAAUUGACUCGAGAAGGAAUUCGGUCAUGUUCACCAGGAACGAAGGACAGAAAUGUCUUUUUGCCUUGGCUGACAAACACCUCUACACCACUGCUUGUUUAGAGCACGUUUUGGGGAUCAUCCGCAGAUGCAAGCAAAACACAGCGGAUGAUGUCAAGUACUUCGAUGACAUGAUUCAAUGGUACAUUCGGUUCAGACAGACUAUUCUCACUCUUAUCACACGUCUGUUUGAUACUGUAAAGAAGGCUCCCGCUGUUGGCCCGAAGAAGAAGUAGUCUUGCUCCAAUUUAACGCAAAUGGGGAGAUUGUUGGGUCGUGUUUUGUAUAAUAUGUUGCGUCUAUUGGGCUCGUUAGCUAGUCUAUUUUUGUAUCUCCGGUAUGGGCCUGUCCAUCCAUGAGUUUAGUAGGGUUGAAUAUAAAUAUAGGUGCUUGCAUGCAUCUUAGGUUAACGAUAGAAUAGAACGAUCAGAGCAUUAUUCAGAAGUUUAUUAUUAUCGUUCUUGUAACCCUAAAUCCUCUACAGCGGAAGUUCUUAGUCGAGCUCUGCUGAGGAUUUUUUGAUCUAAUCAUUUGACAUAUUUUGAUCCACUCUUGUCUUAUUUAUUGUUUUGUGUUCAUCGCAAUACCUGUUACAAAGAUCUAAUCGAUCUUCACGUUUGUUAUUAUAACUUAACACUUUUAUUUAGAAGAACUUUGGAGUCUUUGUUCUUUUAUGAAGUGAUUGGACAAGCUUCAUGAGUUAGUGAUAUAGAUCAUGAGUUAAAUAGUGGGUGUGUGAUGAAAAGUGAGUUGGAUAGAUGAGAUGAUCAGUGAUAUAGAUCAUGAGUUGAAAUAUAGGAAAAGCUUUAACCCAGAUGUUGGCGUGAGUGGUGCAAUACGAGAAAAGCCCUUACCCAACGUUGACCCCCGUCAUUCAGCAGAUGAGGGAUGACAACCAUGGACUGUUUUGAUGGUCUGUGGAACACUAGCAGGUUUGUAACUUGUAGGUGUUAAUGGACUUAAGUGUUCAUUCGCUGUACUCUAAAACCCCCGUCAUUCAGCAGAGUAUCGAUGACAACCAUGGACUGUUUUGAUGGUCUGUGGAACACUAGCAGGCUCAUAACCUGUAUGUGUUAAUGGACUUAAGUGUUCAUUCGUUGUACUCUAUUCCCCUCGUGAGUGCCUUUAGGGCAAGUAAGGAUGGGGAAAACCCCUUAGUAUGUUCAUCAGCUGUAUGGAAAACCCAUUGACAUGUAUUGCGGGGAAAACACCCGUGGGAAAUAUCGUCGAUGAAUAAGAGCUAUGGACUAGCACAUGGCGAUGAUGUGACUUCGUGCCUAUUUUACAUAAAUUGCUGAAGGAAAGCAAUGUUGUCACUUUGUUGGUUAUUUUAUAUUAGGAUGCCUUGUUUGACAUAACUUGCUGAGGGAAAGCAAUGUUGUCACUCCGAUGUUUUUUUAUUUGACAUAACUUGCUGAGGAACCCCUAAAGCAAUGUUGUCACCCCUAGUGAUAAUCCUUAGGCUAGGUCCCUUAUGAUAGUUGUUUUAGGGACGUAAAGUGAGGAUAAUGGGAAUGAGUAAUUAGGGUUAUUUUGGUUGAUGAAAUUAAUAAAUUUAUUGUUGAUUGAGAACUUAAUAAGUUUAUUAUUUAUUGUGGGUUGAAAACCCUAUAUGCUCACCAGGCUCCCAAGCCUGACCCACUCAGUUUAUUUGUAUCACAGGUAUCGAUACGAAGUUGCUUUACACUGAGAGAUUAAAAGAGAAGUAGAUCACUAGUGUAAAUGAAUGUAAGUUUUGUUUAUGCUUAUGUUUUUGUAUUGACAAUGACAUCGCAAUAGUUUAAGUGAAUAAAAUACAUUUCUUCGGAAAUGAGUUGAUAACAUAGUUAUCAUGUUUAUCUGGGAACAAAUUCCGCAACACUUUUAAUCAAAUGAUUACUCUGAAAUUAUUUUAAAAGCAGAAAUUAAAUCGGUCUUUUUUGGCCGUGAAAUUAGGGAUGUCACACAUAUGUUUUGGAUUUAUCAUUCAAAAAUGUUUGAUUGUCUUCAAACUUUCGAAUGUUUUUAAAUUUCCGAGCAUUCUCAAAUUUUCGAACAUUUUCAAAUUUUCGAUCAUUCUCAAAUUUUCGAACAUUAACAAAAUAUCGAUUUGUUCUAUUUGAAUAAAAUAUGUUUUUAGCGUUUGUUGGUUUUGGAAAAGAUGAAUUUAAAGUUGAGAACUUUUGUCUUUUUUUGUUUAAAUAUUCUUUUGUUGAGCACUUGUUUAAAAAGUCUUUGAAGAUGUUGAAAACUUUGUUGAAUAAUUUUGAGAAUUAGAUGAAAUUGAUUGAGCAGGAUUUUCCUUUUUAUCCGAAUGAGUUGAAAACUUUGUUUGUACUGAUUUAGACAACCAUUUUUCAGACAUUUUCUUGAUUGGUAUUUUUUAUUGCUUUUCUUUUGACACUAUUUGCCAAAAAAUUCUCUUUCGUGCUAGUCUUUUCGAAAUUCCUUUUUCAUUCGAAAUUUUUUCAACAAGAUCCUUAAAUUCUUGUGAAUUAAGUUUCACAUUCUCAUUUGUUUAAUUAGAUUCUUGUUUCAAAAUCUCUUUAGUAUUUUCUUGUUUUUCAACCCAUUUUGUUGUGGUUUUUGUCUUUGAAAAUCAUAUGAAUUCUUUGUUAGAUUAUUUCGACAAUGCUUUGAUUUGAAAAGAAUCAUUCGUCUGAUGUUUUCUUGUUAUCUUCUUCGACCAUUUUGUUGAAAUCCAGUUUGAUGUUUUCAACAUUUCCAGUAGUGACAACACUUGAUUCGGAAAUACAACAUCAUCUGUACACUUAAAAUUUGGAUACACCACAGUGUUCGUUUCCAAAAAAUAAGCACCUUUUUCAGAUAACACUUUGUCGAAAUUUUUAGUGUCUCCAAACACUUGGUCAACAACAAUUCGUUUAAUGGUUGUUUCGUUUGAAACAUACUUUUCUAUUGCAGAAUUGUUUGGCACUUCUUCUUCAUUCUCAUCAUCACUGUUAUCCGUUUGACUGUCUCUAACACUCACAUGAUCAAAGUCACAAACAUUCGAAGUAGAGGGUCUAUCAGUGUUAUCCUCAACCAUCGAAUCAUCAAAAAAAAUUUACCUUUUGACUUAGAUGUGACACUAAUGACAGAUAAUUGAGAACAAUCGAUACUUUCCUCCUCCUCAAUUUCACUGAUUUCGCUAAAAUUAUCAGAAUUAUCUUCGAUAUCAGCAAAAUUAAAUUGAGAGUCAAGUUUUGAAUUCUUAGUUCUUUUCAAAAUUUUGAUUUGUUUACUUUUGGUCAAAGUUUCAUUCACUAUUUCAACAAGUUCAUCAGCAUUCAAAUAUUCGUCUAUCUUAACAAUACCAUAAGCAAAUCGAUUAUCAGGACCUUUAUGGAAUUAAGCUAUGGUUUUCUCACAAUCAUAGGACAAACUAUCAACUUUCUCUCCUUCGAAAACAAGAAAAGGCAAUAGUUUCCUAUGUUGUUCUUUGCUUAUAUUAGAUGAAUGAUGCAAUGAAGUCAAUUUAGCAUAAAGUCUUUUUUCUGAAUUAUAGUAAAUGUUUCGUUGAGCAAGUAACAUUCGAACUUCAUUAUCUAGACAUUCCCUAUCCUUAUUCACAUUAUUCAAUUGCAAUUCCAGAUACUCUACCCUGCUUCGUUUCGAAUCUAGCAAUUUUUGGGUCUCUAGCAACUAGAUGUUUAGUUUCUUAGCUUCAUUACUAGCAGACACCACAAUUGUAUCAAAGUAAGCAACAGUAUCAUCAAAUGCAAUUAUUUCAGAAUCAUAAGCUUAUAAAGGAAUGUUAAAAGAUUGAAAAAUAGAACGUACCUUCGUUGUCAUCGGUUCGUCCUCAUCCUCUUCAAAUUGUGCGAACAUAGCCCCAUGCGUCAGAUUAUGCAUCUCUUCGUCAUCAGAUCCUGAAGACCAGAUCUGAUAUGUGCCAUCUUCCUCACCUUCUCCUCUUGCAACCAAUGACAUCCCUUUCUCUUUUGUACGUAUAUCCUCCAGUUUCUCCACAUAAUAUGCUUUGUCCUUGACCUUAUUCUUUUUAUCUUCUUUCUUACGAAGCAUGCAAUCAUUAGCCAAACGAUUUGCUCCGUUGCAGUAAUGACAGUCAAUACCUGAAUCUCCCUUGAGUUUCUUCUCGCUUUUGGCUUCAGUUGCCUUCACAUCAUUCUUCUCGAAUUUCUUCUUCUCCUCACCCACAAACUUAUUCACGAAAUUUCCUUUCACAUCACUCCGCUUCACCUUAGGAUUGAAGGGUUUCUUGAAAAAAAAAUUAACUUGGUUGUUCGAGUAAAAAGCAAUCGCUUCAUCAUCAGAGCUCAUUAGAAAACCUUCUUCAUCAAAAUUAUCUUUUUCACCUGCCUCUUUCUCAGACACUUUCGAAACAAGAGCUAAAGGGCGUCCCAAACUAGGUUUCGACUCUUCAGCCAUCUCAUUCACUUCACUUUCGUGAGUUUUCAAUUGAUUAUACAAAUCAUUCAGAGAGGAAGUAUCGAAGCUUUGUUGAUUCUUCACCAUCAUACUGACAAUUCUCCCUUCCUUACGAAGCCCCAUCACAAAAAUGAGAUUGAACUCCAUUGAUGACCUUGUGAUUCCAUAACGAUUGCAUAUAUAGAUCAAUUCAUUAAGAUGAUCAUAGUAAACUUCAAUCGUUUCAUUCUCUUUUUGUUUGAACUCUUUCAGCUCCACAUGACACUGCUUAACAGAAUUUAUCUUCAUUUUCUCACUUCCCUAAUAAUUUUCCUUAAAAGUGUUCCAAAUAUCCUUUGUAGUUUUACAACCACGGACGUGAUUGUAAACAACAGGUGGCAAUGCACCUCGCAAUUCUCUCAAACAACGCUUUUCGUUGUUCUUCAGCCUGGUGGAUUGAUCAGUAACUCUAGGUGUUGAUCCAGAUGAUCCAAUAGUUUGAACAUUCGAUGGAGGUUGAGCGAUUCCUGUAAUGCAGCUCUAGAGUUCCUCAUCCAAUCCGUUCAAGUAAUCCUCCAUUCGAUCAGCCAACUAAUCAUAGUACUCAGGAAUCAACAUAGGAAUCUUCGUAGAAGAUCCUAACAGAUGAGAAAAUGAAGUCAUCGUGUUUAUGUUGAAAUUCGCCAUUACCGUACAUAUGAGAUUUUUCAGAAAAACUUGAAAGAAUUCAAAAUAGAAUGAAUGAAUUGAUCAGAAACUCAAAAUCGAUUACUCAAUUAUACAAUUCAAACAUAGAAUCAAAUCAAAACUAUAGAUCAUAGAUGAUUUUCAGAAUCAAACAGUGCGGAAACUUUUGAGACAAGCACGUGAAUCAAAAACUAGAGAUUCAAUUGAAAAUCAGAUCUCCGCAGUAUUGAUUCAUGCUCUGAUACAAAUUGUAGAAGUGUUUAAUCGAGUAUAAGAAUCAAAUCAGAGUAAAACAAUGCAAUAUGAACACACGAAGUAAAUAAGAUUUGGUUUAGCUCAUAUUACUUUCAGAGAACACGAGUACAAAACUGAUAGUAAACAAUGGAAACUCUAUUAUCAACUCUAUGUUCAACUCCUAUUUAUAGGAGGCUGAAAGUACAAAAAAUACUAAGGCUAGACAUUACGCUUUGUUAAAACAGAUGCCUUAGCAAAUACAUAGAAAACAUAUGAAAGUGACUAAUACACAUACUUCGACAAAUUACAAAAUAUUUUGACUCUACAAGAACAACCAAUUUGAUAAUCAAAAAGUCAAUAUACAGCCCUCCUUAUAGGAAACUAAGAGUGUGUUUGGUGGUCAAGAAUUAUUUGUUUUUCAAAAGAUACUUUUAAGAAAAAUGAUUUUUUUUUUAAAACGUGUUCGGUUUAAUAUUUAUUCUAAAAUUUAUAAAGAAAGGAGAAUUCUUCAAUUUUCUAAAUUACAAGUAUUUAAAAAAAUCUCGAAAGAUAAAAGUGGUUCGGGUAUUUGGAAGUUUAAAGUUGCUUAAUGUCGCUUUACUAAAAAAAUAGGUUUGGUGGUUUUAUACUGAUCAAAAAAAUGCUAUGGGUUUAUAACUAGGGGUUAGACUUUUAUGUUCCUAAACCAAAGGGUGGUGUUUAGUCGUCGGUAGAUAAAGUGUAUGAAAAACAUAUAUUUCCUCAUUCUCUUUUAUGUAAAAGAUUUGGGAAGGGGGUGAUACUAGUUUUUAGGAUGGGGUGUGGGUGUGAGAUAAGAGACUUAUGGAUCGGUUUCCUAGGUUCUUUGUGCUUGAGACAAAUGAAGAUUGUUUAGUUGUUGAUAGGUAGUGAGAUGUAUGUUGGGUGUGGGAGUGGACCCGUCAGAUUAGAGUGAUCGUCUGAAUAGAUGGGAGUGGGAACUUGAGUCUGAUGGUGUUUUUUCGGUUAGAUAUACUAGACGUCAUAUUGAUAAUAACAUGAUUCUUGGAGGUUUGUUUCCUAAACAACAGUGUAAUUUUGCUCCAUCAAGUUAAACGUUUUUCUUUAGCGGGUAGUUUGGGAUAUGAUUACAACUACAAUUAGUUUGGUUGGUAGAUGCGUGGAUGUUCCCACAAUUUUAUGUCCUUGUUCGUUGGAUGUGGAUGACUGCAAACAUGUGUUUGUAAAUUGUAAGGUGGCUAGUUAGAUUUGGAUAAAGGUGGUUAAGUGGUUAGAUCUUCCAAUCCCUUUAUUUAUCAAUUUUAUAGAACUCUUUCUUGGGUGGACACAAUCACUUUAUCAACAUUGAAGAAAAAGGCUUUGGAAGUCAUUGUCUUGAUUAUGAUUUGGAAGCUUUGGCAUUAUAGGAACAAUGUUGUGUUUCAGACUCCAACUACUAAGAGGAGUAAGGUUUUUGAAAGUAUUGUUAUUUAAUUUGUGGAUUGGUUUUCUAACAUAUGUAAUAAAAUUAGUAUUACUUGGACUUGGUGGUUACAAAACACAAUGACUAUGAAUUAUUUAUAAUUUUUUCUAGCACCUUACUACUGGUUAAAAAAACAAAUAAUUAAAAAUUUGAUAAUUAUUGUUUUCUACACUUUUCUAAUUUUCAAAAGCUUUUUAAAUAUAAACAAACACACGCCCCACACCUACCCACCCACAAGACCCCUGCCUACAUUAUACAAAGACAUCUAAAUUGUAUACAUAAUUACUUUAUCCUUAAUUGAUCGAUUUUUUUAUUUUGUUUGUAUUGCAUGAGUAUAUUAAUGAUGUCGUUUAAAAUAGGUUUAGCUGGUUGACGGUGUUAGAAUUAUUUGAUGCAUUAUCAAAUGUAACAAAAACAACAUUAUUUUGUAAUUUAAAAUCUUGCUUGACCAGUUUGCAAGUCGCAUGAUUUUUUGAUGUCAAGUUUCCAAUAGAGUUAUGAAACUAACCAUAUUUUUGCAUAGAUUCUUUUCUCUUCGUUGUUUAUAAGGCAUAAAUCGAAAUUAGACUAAAUUGCUUGGUUUCAGGAAUAUGGAGAAAUUUUGACAACAUUGGCAUUCACAUGGUUUUUUUUUAGGUUGCUCUAAUGCUCCCGAUGGACGCGAAACCAACAGCUUGUGAGAAUGUCAUUUCCAGUUGGAAAUUGAAGUAUAAUUCGAGAGUACGAGAUUGCAAGAAACGUUUUGAAAAGAGCAGUGUUAAAACUAAAUGAAACAACACUUGUUUAUACCAAGUAUAGAUGAAUAAAUGGUCAUUUUUAGGGUCCAAACGGCUAUACAACUGGUUGUUUUUUUUUUUUUUUAUUUAUGAAAAAGUGCUUUUUAUUUAUUCUGAUAAAAUGACGGAAAAAAAAAAUAGUCUUAGAUUUUCGCCUUUCCAGGUACUCAUCUUCGUCUGAUAGGAUUUAUGCAAUCCGGAUUAUUAUUAUUAUUAUUUUAAGUACAAUAUAAUAUCAAAAUUCAAUUAUUUUUCAAAUAUCCGAAUCCAGUUUCUCUAUAUGUUUGUUCCUUAAAAAAUGUUAAUUUUCAAUUUGGCCACUCUAGCGGGCCUAGUCAGCCCAACCUAAUAAUAUAGCCAGCAGCCCACCACACCAUACGAAAAUCAGAAAUCUAUUUUGAGUUUUUGACACUUUGAAUGUGAUGUAGCAAAUGCAUAACAUCAGUAUCGAGUAUCGAACAAUUAAGUAUAUGUAUAUAUUUCUCAAAACUUCAAACGAUCACAAAACAUGAACAAAUAACAGACUACGUACAAGAGUACAGGAAGAAAAAAACAAUUCGUUACAAACAAAAAAAAUAAAAUCUUAGUGCCUUAUUUGAUCAAUCGUCACUAGGAGCAGGAGCCGAAGUCGGAGAUGGAGAAGCACCAUUUGUUUGAUUGACAGUCUUAAACCCUAAUUUUCUUAUAAGUUCAUCAGCAAUCAUCUCAUUAGCAUGAUCCGAUGGAUGGUAUUCAUCCCAAAACAAAUACUUGCUUCUGUCUUUACAUAAUCUCGAUGCAGGAACACACGUCAAAGCAGGCCUAAUCCUUCCAAAUGAACAGCAUGGCGAAUCAGCAUUGUCAAAUCCUGCAACAACCAUAUCACAUUUAAUUCAAAAAUCAAAACAUAAUUAAUUUACAGUAUCAAUUUACUGAAUUAGACAAGAAAAACGUACCAUAUUUACUUGGAUUGGUGAUGAUAUUAUUAACGACAUCAUAAGCAUCUCCGAAUUUGUAAGACGCAUUUGGAAGUUUCGCAGAUAAAUCGUCCAUGAGUUUAGCUGUAGCUUUGUUGAAGCUAAGAGCAAGUGUGUUUGUUUUCUCUUGACACCCACCAGAAGUACUCAACACCCUUUGAAGAGGAAUACAACCCAUUGGCCCUAACCCGAAAACCAUCAACUCUCGAACUCCCAUCCCAUGCAAUACCUACAUAUAACAUUAAACCAAGAAAUUAAACUCAUGCAUGAAUCUUAUAUAUAUAUCAACGACUUUUGAUUGGUUCCCAACAAAUUAAAGGAUCAGGGUUGUUUAAUUUUUACUGUGAGUUGUUCUCCGAGAGUCUCCAUUAGGUAGCCGACGAAGGUGUCAUCGUUAUACGUCCAAGAAUCAGCAUAAACAGGCAUCAAGUAGUUGUUGAUGAAAUCAUUGCUACCCAAUGCCACUACGUACUUCGCUUCCUGGAAAAACUUGGUUGCUUCUUUAUCGCCGAUUGAGCCUCGGAUCAAUGUUUGAACUCCUCGGAAUAACUCGAUUUGCUUAUACAUUGAGAAUCUUUGAAUCUGUAAUUUUUUUUAACAAUUUCGUUAUCUGUUUUUAAUCUAUAAAUCCGGUUUAAGUACAGGAAUAUUCAAACUUACAAACAAACCACCAGUUUCGUUCAAGAUCCCGCCACCUCCGGAAGCGAAGUUCACUCCGUUCGCAAGUAUAACAUCUUCUGAUAACGAGGGAUCCAAGAACGCCGGUGGUCGUGGAAGCCCAAUCUUAUCACCUGCAACCCAAAACUAUUAAAGUCGACGAUGGUUUAUAUAUAAUUUACCAUGUGAUGUUGCCGGAAAAUAUAUUACCGAUAAUGUCAGAAACGGUGCGACCAUUGGUGAACCUGCCAUUCGGCAUUCCACUACCAUAGUCGAUGCCAUACCAAGGAAGUGCAGCCUGUGCGAAGCUCUUUGUAAGCCGAUUGUUGUUGCCGUUAUCGGACAAUGAAUCCCCGAAGAUGAAUUGCACAAUUUUGCAAUCGUAUCCAUGGAUUAAACCUGAAAGAAGCGUCGUCAAGACCACCGUCAUGGCCACUGUUAACUUCAUCUUUCUUGGAGAAGAUUUUGUUGAGCUUGUUUUGUUGAAGAAAUGAUGGGUUUGAAGUUGGAAUUUAAACAUGAAAAAUGAUUUAGAAAGGUGAGUCAUGCAAGCAAUUGCUACCGGAGGUUGUACCACCUCCUGGCCUACGUAAUAUUUUAUUUUAUUUUUAAGUUCAAAUAUUAAAAUACCCUUUUUCGUUAUUGAUAAAAAUCAUUACUAUCAACGGUUUAUAUUACAAGGUUUUACAAGAAUAGAAGGCAUUAUCCAUAGGUCGAUAACAUUAGAAUCAACAUUGUUAUACUUUUGUAAUGAAUCCGAUGGGUAAAUAUGUGAUUUUAGUAUAAUUGUUUUUGAAAGAAAGGGACUAUACCGGUAUAAUACAUCUUAAAAUAGAAAAUUUUAUUAUUCUUUGUAAAACUAAUUAAGGGAGGUCUAUUCGGGGGUUGAAACUUGAAAGGAUAUGAAGUUGAUAAGCUAAUUGUAACUACUUACAAUCACUUGGGAUUUUGCCAUGGUUUGAGGUUAUGUUGUUUGUCAACAUAUUUUUACGGGUGCUCACCUACCUUAUAUAAAAAGUAGGUGGAAUUUAUAUGAAUGCUUUUAUUCAAAAUAUCAAAAUUUAUAACAAUAUCGCAUACACCGUUUGAUAAUUUUCUGAAAACUACAACUAAAUAUAACAAAAAAAAAAUCUCGCUCGAUAUUCAACGGUUUUAUGUUUGUUGAUGGUGUGACAAGAAAGGUGAAGAAAGUCCGAAAACAAACAACGGCAUGUCUGCUUCUUCUAAUAAAUAAAACUCAUUUUUGCUACGUGUCCCUAUUCUACAUUGUUACUUUGCCGCGUGUCAUCUUCUUAAAAAUUCUUAUAAUCAGCUUAAAAUCAGCUGAAUCGGUUACUGAUUUCAUUACUUAAAUAAACAUAAUUAGAAAUUCUGUAGUUUUUUUUGUGCCGCGAUUCAAACAUUCCCCCAAUUUUUGGUCUAUCAUCUUGCAUUCUUUCAAAAUCUAUUACCUAAAUUAUGUGAUGUCCUCCAAUCUCUCACACAUUAAAUAUUCUUAUGAUAACUGCUUGUGCAUAGCCCUUCUCCUUCUUCGCCACUCUUCUCAUGUAACUUUUUAUUUUUUUGGUUUAGGCAAAAGCGGGAUCGCAUCCUCAAAUUGUAAACACGUAUCCUCAAUUUAAUUCCUUUGGACCUGCUAAAUGUUCAUUCAAUCACAAUCGAAGGUAAAUCCAUAUGUGUUCAUUAAUUUCAUUCUUCUUUUCCUUCAAUUUCUCAAUAGCCAAUAGUCUCGAUGUUUUUAAAUUUUAUUCUUUUUCCUGUUUUUAUUCGAUCCAUCCCAAGCCAAUAAACUAACAUGUGUUUUCUGAAAUUUAAUCAAUUUUUUGUGCUUGAUCAUAUUAUGUAUGGGGUAUUUUUUUUAUGGGAGUAAGGAACUCAAAGAGAAGACUGUUACCACUCUUCACGCCAAAUCCAUUCAGAAAAUAUAACCAAAAGCAUAGGAAAAAUAUGAGGUAUUAAACAGUUUCUCUAUUUUCUUUUGUUUGUGGGUGUAACAACCCAAAAUACGACCCAGAAAAUUUUGUUUUAAUAUUACUAAAAAUCUCAACAUCAAACGUCAUAUAUAACAAAACCAUGGAACGAGUAAUUCAAAAGUCAUAGUAACAGUAUCCAAAACAAAAACUGUAUCAAUCAUAUCAAAAUAUCAGAGUAAAUUCUCAGGCUAAACUAAAGCUGUGGUGUGUGCCAUGCCAUCAUCCCGAGCUCUUCCCCUUACUAGAAGAACUACCUAAAACCAAAACUGAAACUGUAAGCACAAAGCUUAGUGAGCUCCCCCAAACUACCACAUACCAUACAAUAACAUAUAAAGCACAUACUGGGCCUUGCCCAUUACAUCGGACCGAAGUCCGGAAACUGACCAGGGCCUUGCCCUCUGCAUCGGACUGAACUCCGGAAACUGCAUCGGACCAAAGUCUGGAACUGACUGGGACCUUGUCCCCUGCAUCGGACUGAAGUCCGGAACUAACUGCAUUGGAUCGAAGUCCAGAACUGACUGGGACCUUGUCCCCUGCAUCGGACCGAAGUCCGGAACUGACUGAACGUAGCAUAGCAUAAACAUAUCAACUAGUAUGAACACAUAUACUGCAUACUGCAUCGGAACAGGGUCCGGAACACAUAACACAAAACAUUUUUUAAUCACAAAGACAUCAAGCAAUCUAACUACUACAUCGGACCGAGGUCCAGAACUAUUGCUAACUAAACGGGUCGGCAUUGUGGCUGUAGACCCAUUCCUACUGGAAGGAAACUCACCUCGUGACGUCGGCUGCUGAGAUGCUAACUCUAACACUGGCUGACUGCUGCUCCGGAACUAUCCGGCUACAAAUUCCAAAAACACUAGGAUCGGUUACUUGUAAAUGCCCGCAAGGUAAAAUGACUAUUUUACCCCUGAUCAAGGUCAACUCCCUGGUCAAAGUCAACUCUCUGGUUGACCGGACUCGUCAAGUCAGGGCGCAGACUCGCCGAGUCCCUCCUUUACUAGUUCUGACAUUAACUCACCGAGUCCCUUUCCCACUCACUGAUUCACCCUAAACUCACAACUUGAAGAAAAACGGGGACUCGCGACUCAACUCAUCGAGUCCGAAGAACGACUCGCUGAGUGCUAUCGUGUAGAUUCCAUACAAUCGAAUUCUAAUCCUUUCCAAAGCAUCUAACUCGUAGAUCUGAGCCCUUGAGACCAUCUGAACUCGUAGAGUUGCUAACUUUACGUGUAACUACGAAGGAAUGAAGUUAUUUCACUCAAACACUAUUUUUCUCGGGAAAACUCAUCCGACUCGCCGAGUUGUUGAACAACUCGUCGAGUCUAAGGAAAUCUUCAUCGGACUCGCCGAGUUACUCAUCCAACUCGUCGAGUCCACGGCUAUCUUCAUAUGACUCACCGAUUCAACCAUGCGACUCGCCGAGUCCAGUCAGUCCUUUUUCCAUACAGACCUUAUUUGAGCCAUGCAGCGGCUCCAAAUCACAGAUCCAAGCUUCUAGGGCAUGCUUAUCACGUGCAUGGAUGGCUUUAAAGGCUUUAAAUGCCAAACCUAAGCUCUUAAUGGAGUUCCAAGCUCAAGAGGGACCUCAAUUACGACCAUAACUGAAACUUUACACUUCUAGAAUGCAAUGAGGGUCCAGAUCUGAAGUAUGACCCGAUCAUAAGACUUUAUCACAAAGGAUUUGGGGUUUUGUGGCUCAAAAGCAAAAAUUUGGGGACAAACAAGAUCUACUAGAUCAAUAAACAAUAUGGAGGCUUUAUUACCAGAAAAGAUGACCACAACUGAGUGUGUUCUGGAUCUACUUCCUCUUCUUUGAACUCUUCAACCUUCUCCUUCUUCAACUUGCUCCAAAAGUUCCUUCACAAAGCAAUAAUCACUCACACACUCAAUAAGGGGGCUAGGGUUCGGUAAGAGAUGCUCUGAGAGUGAUAGAGGUGAGGUUGGGGUGUAUAAGUGUGUUUAAAUAGGGUGUAAACCCUUAAAACUAGGGCUUCAUCCAGACAGGCAGACUCGCCGAGUCCAGCGUAUGGACUCGCCAAGUCGCCAGCUUAAUUCGCGUGAUCAUCCCGUCUCUACUCGAUGAGUCGGGUUACAGACUUGUCAAGUACCCCUCAAGAAAUGAAAUACUUUAAUUAAAUCACAUACUAUAAAUGGGGCGUUACAGUGGGUUUUGUUGCAGCAAUAGUUAUUGGGAUAUCAUAAUGCAUAUCAACCGUUCGAUUAAAUGCUUGGGUUAAAAUACUGGUAAAUAACUCUCAUUAGUUGGUUUUUGUCAUCUUUGAAGUGUGAACUUCACAUUCAAUGAAUCCAUAAAAUAAAGGAAAAUUUCCAUAUCAUGAACUAUUGUCAACGAUCUUUUUUUUCAUUAAGAUAUUGUUCGAAACGAGACAUUUAGUGGAAGCUAAGGAUGAAGAUUUUGGGUUGGUGUGAAUGGAUGUAUAUGUGAAUGCAAGUUUUAGUUUAAAAUAUAUUUUAAACAUUCAUAACCAUAGGUAUUGAUAUAUUAUUUUCUAGGCUUAUAUGGACCAUUUGUGUUUUUGAAAUAAUGCAUGAAAUAAGGCUUACACCGUGAUAUUUUUUUGGUGAUAUCUGAAAGGUGUUCAAUACUUGAACAUGAGAUUGUUUUUUAACGAAAAACAUACAAGUUAAGGAUACUUAUCUCACUAUCCAUCUGAUGCGACCUGGCUCCGAACCACCUGAGCUAUGGAUGAAUGACGUCCGGUUGGAACUUGAUAGGUCACAGAGAAAAGGAAGGCGUCAGCCGUCGUCCGGGAGGAGGUCCUGGAAGAACGCUCCGACGGUCAAGUUAGUUGUUGAAAUGAGAAUGAGCGUAUAGAGAAUGAAGUUUGGGGUCAAGAGAGCUUCCCUUGUCAAGGCCAGAUGAUAGGCCUUUUAUACUAAAGAUCUUCCUCGGACCGUACGAGGGACAGGGACUGCGAUCCCGAUAGGAUCUGAUGCUCUUAUUGGAGAAGCAUGAUCCACGUUUGUGUCCGGCCCAACGAUUGUUCCAGGCGAUUAUGCUCUGGCCUGGCAUCUUGUCGCCUGGAGCCAUUAUCUUUGGAAUGUAGUUAAAGGACCAUGCUUGGCGAGGGCGAGCUUCCUAGGUGGUCGCCACGUAGGAAUCUGGGGUCGUUUGGGCGUCCGGGUUGCCCGGCCGAUUCCCUGCUGGUAGCGCCCUGCUAGGGCUCACCUGUCUUUGGCCUGCUCUGAGGGGCGCGUCAUCAAGUCCCCCAGUCCAGUAGUCAUAGUGUAUGCUAGCUAGUUAUGACGUUCUGGACUUAACUUUUGGUACACACAUCAUGCUUUUACUCGGUCGAUGCUUCAUUUCCGGUGAUGUGACAUUACGACGUGCGCGGCGGUUACGUCAACUGUGUCAAGGAUUUUCGUAAAUCCCGCUUUCUUUUCCUUUUAUUCCUCUUGAACAGUUUUCUUUUUCAGUUCCUACCCUACCUCUUUAUUCCUUCUUUUCUUCUCCUCUUCUUGUUCUUUUUCAUGGCGUCUACUCAGAGCUCAAUCCCUAGUUCCUCCGAAUUCGACACCCUUUAGGAGGCUUACGGCCUCACUCUGGCCGAUGGGGUGGAGUUCCUAGCCUCUGGUUCUUUGAUCACUCGACCUCCGCUUUGGAAGGUGGGUGUUUAUCUGAAAACCUUCGACGCCGGUCUUCACUUUCCAUUAACUGACUUUCAAGAAGAAAUACCCCAGCGUAACGGGUGCAGUGUUCAGAUGCUAACCCCCGGUGUUGUUCAUAAGAUAGUGGCCUUCGAGAUGAUUUGUCAAGCUAACUGCAUCAUUCUCGACUACUUCGUCUUCAAGUUCUUCUUUUAGUUUGCCGCCACCAACGACAAGUAUACCUUCUCUGCCAGCCGGGGAGGCCAUAAUCUCGUCGUUGACAGUAAGCCUCCCAAGAACUGGCAGGAUAAGUGGUUGUGGGUCAACCAGGAGCUGCUCGGCCAUGAGUACCCCCGGGCGACCACGCUUUCCAACACCAUCCCUAAACUAAUUUCCCACAACCAGGCGACUGCAGAUCUCUUGCGCACUCUCCAUGUGGACGUUGAUGUGAUGUCGGAGGCUAUACUUGUCAGUGUCGGGAUGAGUCCUAGUUGGCGCUCUCGGGGGGAGAUGUAUGUGUUCUACACUUUUUCUAACGGUGAGUCGCUCUUGCUUUUCCCUUUGGUUUCUUUCUUCUCCCCACUUUAUAUAUAUAUAUAUAUNNNNNNNNNNNNNNNNNNNNNNNNNNNNNNNNNNNNNNNNNNNNNNNNNNNNNNNNNNNNNNNNNNNNNNNUAUAUAUAUAAAGAGACCUCGUUCAUUUUUGCUUUUUCACGAUUAUCUUUUCCAUUUUUUGGCAGGUGUUGAAUUCUCUGUCUCUAUGGAUUCUAUACUGANAACCCGUAGGGAGUCUAUCGUGUCAGGAAGUCAGUCGGGUCCCUAUACUGUCAUGACCCCGCCGACUGCCUCUCGUACUCCUACUGAGCCGGCAACCGAUGGUGCGGUGGACAUCAAAGUUGGGAUUAUGGCUGGCGAUCGUCGGGUUGCGGAAAAAAGGAAAGUUGUGCAGGUGAUGAGUGGUCCAACUCCUGAGGGUAGCUCGGGACCCAUCGGACGGCGUGUGAUGCGGCGUCGUGGUCUUAUGCGCCUAUUGUUGUCUGUACCGUCCAGCCCAAGGGAUGUGUUGGUGAUACCGAUGAUGACAUUCAACAGUCUGAGGGUAUCAAAGGGGCGUCUCAUCAGCCCAUUGUACAGGUUUCUUUAGGCGCUGGCGUCAGCCUUCAGUCUUCGAGGGGUAGCCCUGAGCGGUUGUUCCAAGGGCCCUUUGUAGUGGGGGCGUUGUGCAGCACGCCUGUGUUUGUUCCAGGGUGGGGCUUACGUUCUGAUUCUCGUUUGUCUUUUCGUUCUGUUGCCUUGGAUUUUACUCGUCAUGCUCUUCCUCCAGCCACCGUAGAUGAUAUGGUUUCAAUGAGCAAUGUCGUCUUGGCUCAUAAUCUUGCGUAUGUCGCUGCACAGGCCAUGACAUAUCUGGGCGUUGGGUCCCGUCGUGUGCAGCGAUUUGAUGAGUUGGAGCAUGUGCAUUCUUCCCUUAUUGAGAAUGAAGCUGAUUUGAAGGCGAAGGUGACCGACUUAAGCAUUGUCGUUGGUCGGUUAGAGGAGGAGAACAUGUCUUUGGUGUCGGAGAAAUUGGUAUUGGAGGAUGUACGUAGUGUCUUGGAGGGUCAAGUGGGGUAUUUGACCCGAGCAAAUGAAGGUUUGAUGAUUCAGAAUGAAAGCCUGGAGUGGGACCUUUCCGAUCGCGAGCGUGAACUAGAGCUGCUGAGGGUAGACCCUAGUUGGCUCCUUCAGGUUGGGUUUGUGUGUGUGAUGGACAAGCUUCUUGAGCAUCCCGAGUUCACUGGUGGUAUUAGUCAUAUUCGUCAUGCUGCCUUUACUGCAGGGGAGGAGUCAGGUUGGGCCAGCUUGAAAGCUCAAGUCGACGAUGGGACUUACGAUCCUUCAACUACCAACUCGCGGUCCAGUCAUACGUCAGCCUUGGAUGACGCUUUGUUGGCUUUCACGACAAUGGACUUUGCAGGUUUGCUCGGGCUGGGUCACUUGGAUGUGGAUAGGUAAGAGCAUUAUGCGCGUUUGAUGAGGGUGAGGAGGAUGUGGAGAUGUUGGGUGUGGGUGGUUCAGGGGCAGGUGGUGUAGGAGCAAGUGUUGGGGCUGGUGGAGUUGGCGGUGGUAGUGAAAUUGGUGAUGGCGACGACCCUGUUGGUGGCGAUGGUGUUGGUGGCGAUGUAUAAAGUUGUUCAGGGCUACCCUUCUAGGUUGUGAAAAAAAAAUCUUAUUGAAGCUUUUGUCUUGUUGUCUUUUAAUCGUUUUACAGCCUCUAAGGCCUUUGUUUGGAUGUUCUUAGCCUAUGGCCUCUAAGGCUUUCGUGUGUAAGCAAACAACGGUUUAUCUUUAGUUGCUGAACUGUUAUGCUUUUUAUCAAUCAUAUCAAACCUUCUAUGUAGGCUUAUCAUCUGUUAGGCUCUCUUCUAUAUUAUUUUUUUCGUUUUUAUGUACACUACAUCUUGGAUUCACUAAGUAUCCUCUAUGCUAUAUUUUUUAGAAUGUUAGAUGUGCUCACUGCAUUACGUGCUAAAGACAAUGCAUGUUCUUUUAUUUAUGUAAUUCUGAUACAUGGUUGUUUCAUACAAUAAUUUCCUAUUAGACUUCUCUAAGAGUCUAUCUGUUGGUCUGGGUGAUUAGUCCUACCAUGAGAUGUUUUCCUCGUUUUCCCUACUGUUUAGGGUUUUACGACUUUGCUUGAAGGUUGUGUACCUUCGUCUUCCCUUCUGCAUAGGGUCCUGCCGUUUCUUAGAUGUGGAACUUCCUCAAGUUCCUCACGUUCCAUCCUAGGUAUUUGCCUCCCUUCCAGGGUCUCGAGAGAGUACGAUCCGUUGCGGUGCGUCUCGGCCACUAUGUAUGGUCCUUCCCACGUCUGGCUUAAUUUCCCGGGGGGUUGUGCAUGGUUGACCUCAUUUUUCCACAAGACAAAGUCUCCCACUCGGAAUGCUUUGUCCUUGACACUUUGAUUGUAGUAUCUUUCCACUGUCUUUUUGUAGGAUGCCUGGCACAUGCUUGGACGCUCGCGUCGUUCCUCCAGGAGGUAUAGGUUUUCUAUUAGAUUUUUGUUGUUUCCUUGCUCAUGGCAGUACUCUGUUCGUAUUGAUCCUAUCAUCAUUUCUUCCAGUAGCAUUGCUUCGGCUCCAUAGGCUAAACAGAAUGGCGUUUCUUUUGUGUUGGUCCGUGGUGUGGUACGAUAUGACCAAAGAACUUCUGGUAGCUCGUCUACCCAGUUGCCUUUUGCUUUGCCUAGCCGUUUCUUGAUCCCUUGCACCAACGUCCUAUUGGACACCUCUGUUUGUCCAUUGUCUUGGGGGUGAGCCAUAGAUGUGAAUCUCUAUUCUAUUCCCUUUUCUUUGCACCAGUCCUUGAAGGGGUUCUCUGCGAACUUUAGGCCAUUGUCACUGACUCGGAUCUUAAGUGUUCCGAACCGUGUUAUGAUGUUCUUCCAGACGAACUUGAUUAUCUGCCUCCCGGUAAUACACACCAACGGUUCUGCUUCUAUCCAUUUUGUAAAGUAGUCAACUACCACAACUAGAAAUUUUACCUUCCCCGGCGCUUCUGGGAAGGGGCCGACAAUAUCAACUCCCUAUUGGUAGAAAGGCCAAGGGCUGAUUAUGCUUGUUAACUUGGAUGGUGGCACUUCUUGUGCCGGUGAGAAAGUCAGGCAUUCCACACAAGUUCGUGUUAGGUCGAUUGCCUGCUGGUGUAUCUCUGUCCAGUAGAGACCCAUGCGCAACACUUUGCUUUUGAGUGCUCAGGCUCCUACAUGGGCUCCGGCUGACCCUGUGUGGGCUUCCUUCAGAGCCAUCUUCCCUGCCAUGCCAUCUAUGCAUUUGAGCCACAGAGAUGUGUGACAUUUUCUAUACAACGUCCCUUUUAGGACUGCAUAUUGGGGGGCUCGCACCCUCGUUUUCCGGGACUCUACAUGGUCGUCAAGGAGAAUACCGUGCAGAAGAUAGUCCAUGAUGGGCGUCAUCCAGUUGAGUUGCGCCACUGAUAGGGAGUCAACUUGCCGCUCGUCGAUGCUCCUUUCUUUUAGUAUUUCCACCAGCACCUCCUUCGAGAGGUGUUCGAAACAUGUUGACGCUAACUUCCUUAGGGCAUCUAUUCACCUAUUGCUUCCCCUCGGGAUUUGCUUUAUCACAAAAAAUUUUAGGGAACUCGUGAUUCGUUCCACCACUUUCACAUAUUUCUCCAUUCGUUUGUCUUUCUCUUCGAAUUCCCCUGAUACUUGGUGGCUGCUAAGCGCGAAUCCGUUAAGGCUGUGACUCUUUCCGCCCCCAUUUUUACUGCUAGCCUGAGCCCGACUAGCAAGGCUUCGUAUUCUGCUUCGUUGUUGGAAGUACGGAAGUCGAAGCGCAGGGCGUAUGUGACUUCCUCUCCCGUAGGGAUGGCUAAAAUUAGCCUUGCGCCCAACCCUUCUUUGUUGGAGGCCCCGUCUGUAUAGAGGAUCCACAGCUGGUCAUUCUUCUCUGCUGAGCGCCCUUGUUGGUCUGUGUUGGUUACUUCUUGUUAGAGUUCUCCUGGAAUUUCAAGCAAGAAAUCCACUAACACAAGCCCCUUGAUGCUUACCCGAGGGUGGUAACUGAUGUCGUGCUCUCCUAGCUCUAUGGCCCACUUUGCGAGUCGCCCAGAUGUCUCCGGCUUUAGGAGUACCUGCUUGAUCGGGCAAUUAGUCAGUACCUCUAUUUGGUGGGCCUGGAAGUAUCGGUGGAGUCUUCGUGUCGCAUAGACUAGGGCGAGCACCAAUUUCUCGGUGGUUGGGUAGUUUAUUUCGGGUCCCCAUAGGGCCUGGCUCACGAAGUAGAUCGGCAGCUGGCGUUCUUCUCUUUCAACAACCAGCACUGAUGAGAUAGCGCCUUUCGAUGUAGACAAGUACACUUGCAGCAUCUCGCCGGGUAUUGGGCUUGCCAGAGUAAGGAGGGUGUGGAGUGCUUUUUUAUCUUCUGUAGUGCUGAUUUGGCCUCUGUCGUCCAUCAUAAAUUGUUUUUCUCUAUGCAUCUUUUGAGUGUGUGGAAUAGCGGCAUGGCUUUCUUAGCCGACUUGGAGAUAAAUCGGCUAAGCGUUAUCAGCUUUCCAUUUAAGCAUUGUGCGUCCCUCAGCGUACAAGGUGAGGGUGUUUCUUUGAGCUCAUUUACUUUGGUUGGACUCGGCUGAAUUCCUUCUUUCGUCACAUAGUAUCCCAAAAACUGGCCUUCUUCAACCCCAAAAGUGCACUUGGCGAGGUUUAAUUUCAUCCUAGCCCCUCCAACAUUUGUAGCGUUUCCUCCACAUCUCGUAGCAGCUUGCUCUCGUUUGGGCUUUUUAUUACCAUGUUGUCGACAUAAACCUCAAAAUUUCGACCGAGCUGGUGGGCGAACAAGGAAUCAACGAGCCGCUGAUAGGUCACCCCUGCAUUCUUCAGCCCACACGACAUCUUUGUGUAACAAAAGGUGCCAUGAUCCGUGUAGAAGGCUAUCUUCUCUUCAUCGUUUGUGCUCAUUAGGAUUUGGUGAUAUCCUUUGUAUGCAUCUAGGAAGCACUUCCACUGAAAUCCUUGCAAAGAUUCUACUUUUUAGUCUAUUUCUGGUAGCGGAUAACAGCCUUUGGGGCAUGCUUUGUUUAGGUCCGAGUAAUCAAUGCACAUCCGCCAACUACCGUCAUGUUUCCUUACCAUUACCGGGUUGGCGAUCCACAUGGGAAAAAUCGUUUCUCUGAGGAUCCCAACGUUGGUUAACUUUUCUACGUCUGCUUUGAUUGCUUUGUUUUGGUCCCCUCCCUGAACCCGCUUCUUUUGUUUCACUUCCUUGGUUCCUGGUUUUAUCAUCAGCUCGUGUUCUAUGAUUCCUCGAUCGACCCCCACCAUGUCUGUAGGCAUCCAUGCGAAUACAUGUAUGUACUUCUGUAGUAGCUGGACCAGCGUCCCUCUCGUUUUUGCAGGGAGGGUUGUUCUCAUGGUCACUCGCUGGUUGGGGAACUCCCUGUUGAUUACUUCUCCUCCAUCUAACGGGUUUAGUCUUGGUCUUUUGGCCUCAGCUAAGAUGUCUUUCGGUUGCAUGAUCUCAUAACAUUUGAGUUCCCUUGGGGGUGUGGCUAGAAUCAUGCCUAGUCCGUGGCUUAUGCUAAAUUUGACUAUCCCAUGGAUUGUUGACGGGACCGCCCCAAAUCUAAGCAGGGUUGUCCAACCCAAUAUGAUGUUGUGCUCCGACGAGUGUCGUAUGACUACAAAGUCUAUUAGAGCGGUCUGUCGCAUGGCUUUGUCUUGGAUAACUAGCGUAAAUGGCAAGUGAAUCGUACCUAGUGGACAUAGGCUAUGCCCGGUGAAUCCUGUGAGUUGGCACGUGGUUGGCCUCAGUCCCUCUUUCCAUGUGUUUGGUAAUAGCCGAAAACAGUGUUUGUAGAUGAUAUCCGCUGAGCUUCCAGUAUCGACGUAUACCCGGUGAAUGAUUAUAUCUCGGAUGGACGCCUGAACGACGAGGGGUUUGUCUCCGUUCCACCCGGUUAGGGUUGGGUCACGCAUGGAGAAUGUCAACCCCUGCAUUUCUCUUGUAAUAUUUUGUGUGUCUUCCGCACGCUUCACUCUCCCCCUCUUAUGGUGGAUUGUCAGAAUUUCCAGUUUGCGUUCUGCCUUCCCGAAGGCGUCUUUUGGGUUUUCUGCGUCGAACUUAGCCCAUAGGCUUUUGGCGAUUUCUAUGACAUUGCCUUUUAGUUGCUUUUCUUCGAUUGUGACGUGUGUCCUGCUCUUGUGAUACUCACAGCAUCGUGUUUUGGAGCCUUUGGUUUUUGAUCUUUCGUCGACCGUGUAGACUUCUGGUCUUCUUCCUCGCCUAUCGUCCCUGUUGAAGGGUCUAAAACGCCCUGAGGGUCAUCUGUCCCACCCCAUGAACUUGUUGUUCCCCCGAGAGUCGGGAUGAGACGGAGGGUAGCUAUUCUGCCUCCCGGUGGAGGUUGUCAUGGUGUUGAGGUUCGCCUGCUUCGAUGCUUCGCCCUCCUCUUGGUGUAAAAACGUUCAACUCGCUCUUUUAAUUCGGCCCUCGUCUUGUGUUGUUUGCCCAUAAGCUUUUAGGACAACGAGCAUGGUAACAACCCCCAGGUGAACGCACCCGUGAUUAAACUUUCGUCAUGUCCUGGGACGUCUAACGUUGCUUUGGUAAACCGAGCAAACUAGUCUUUGACUGUCUCCUCCUCUCUUUGUUUGCACCCAAUUAUUGAGUGGCAGUCACCUUUGCACUUCCUGAGAUGCAUGAAGUUUGUGAGGAAGAGAUACUUCAGCUGGCUGAAAUUACUGAUGUUGCCCGGACGCGGCGUCUUGAACCAUGUUCUUGCGUUGUUGUCUAAGGUAGUAGGGAAGUAUGUACACUAGAAUCGCUCGUCUAGUUUGAGGGACGUCAUGGUCCACUCAUACGUGUCAAUGUGGCUAUCUGGAUCGGUAGUUCCAUUAUACGUCUUAAGGUGGGGUAGUUUGGUAGUGUUGGGGAUUUCGUACUCCAGGAGUUCUUUAACAAAUGGCGAUGUGACGCUUCGCGAUGAGCAGUCUUGGGUUAGAACUUGCUGAUUGAGGUGGUACCCUGGCGAUUGCAUCGCCAGGAAUGGCUGAACUAGCAUAUUGUUGUAAGCGGUGAGAUCUGGUGUUGCUAGACCAUAGUGGCUAAGCGGUUGAAACAAAGUGGGGAAGCUGUAUGGCUUGGGAAUCUGUUGCUGGGCCACAUGUGUUUGUUGUUGGGCCAUAGGUGUCUGCUGUUGGGUCAUGGGUGUUUGGUGGUAGAACGUAAGUGGCGACGCUGGUGUAUUACCCGCCAUCAGUAAUGGGUGGUUCUAUGAUUUCGAUACAAUACAUGCGCCAAUCAUAGCGCUGUUUGUGUGUACGUUACUUGCUAAGGAUGUGACGGUUGUCAUUUGAUCGUGAUGGGAACCGACGGUGUUGGAGAAAAAGGGUGGCGAGGUGGGUAUGGUGUAUCGGCUGGGUAUGCUAUUGUUUGGUAAUGGUGGGAUGGUCAUGGGAGUCAUGGUGGUUCUGGGGUAGGGCGGCCUGCACAGCCGUGGUAACGGGAGUUGGGAAUGAAUCUGGUGGCGGAGUUGUCACAUGAUACGGUGGUGGACGGCCGAAAGCCGGUGUCGCUUCGAAGGACAACAGCGGGUCACCAGAUGUUGGUGGUAUUUCGGAUGUUGGUGGCUGACCACCGGAUGACGGCACCGCUGGAGUGUCAGUUACCUCCAACGACCCCAUCGGGUGUAUCGGGCUGUGUGGUUUGCGUAUUUAUUGUCACACAAAUGGAUGGCGUCAAAUGAUGCGACCUGGCUCCGAACCACCUGAGCUAUGGAUGAUCGGCGUCCAGCUGGAACCUGAGAGGUCACAGAGAAAGGAAGGCGUCAGUCGUCGUUCGGGAGGAGGUCCCGGAAGAACGCUCUGAUGGUCAAGUUAGUUGGUGAAAUGAGAAUGGGUUUAUAGAGAAUAAAUGUUGGGGUCAAGAGAGCUUACCUUGUCAAGGCCAGAUGAUAGGGACUGCGAUCCCAACAGGAUCUGACGCUCUUAUUAGAGUAGCAUGCUCCACGUUUGUGUCCUGCCCAACGAUUGGUCCAGGCGAUUAUUCUUUGGCCUGGCGUCUUGUCGCCUGAAGCCGUUAUCUUUGGACUGUAGUUAGAUGACCAUGCUUGGCAAGGGCGAGCUUCCUACGUGGUCGCCGCGUAGGAAUCUGGGGUCGUUUGGGACGUCUGGGUCGCCCGGUCGAUUCCUUACUGGUAGCGCCCUGCUAGGGCUCGCCUGUCUCUGACCCGCUCUGAGGGGUGCGCCAUCACCAUCCAUACAGGUUAGUGCUUUCAUUUUAAUGCUAAAUGAAAGACUAAUUGAUAACUUUCUUCCGCCUCUAUUUUCUUUUUCUAAAGUCAAUAAAUGCAUCAUUUUUAUUCUUAAAAUUCAGAAAUACUGAAGCAUUUUUUUUUUGUGUGUUGCUAAGUUUUUUUUCUGGUGUUUUGCUAAUUGAUAACUUUCUUCCGCCUCUGUUUUCUUUUUCUAAAGUCAAUAAAUGCAUCAAUAUUCAAAAUGUUUUCAUUUUGGACUAAUAACAUGAAAAUCAGAAAAUAUAGGGUUCAUCUGUGUGAUUUCUCCUUUCGGUGUUACCCUGAGUUCAUAAUGUAUUUCCAUUUUUUUUUAUAUUUUAGAUUUUGAUUGGUGAAAGCUUUCCACUUUUUUGCCUCUAAAUCAACGAAGGUGAUGCACGAUUUGAUAUAUUUGUUUGGAUGCAUUGAUGGUUAGGUAUAUGUAGUAGGGGAAAGAAUUAAGUUCUACUAGCAAAUAAAAAGGUAACUGCAUAUUACAAUUGCAAUUGGAGAAUAAAAAAUUAAACUCUGCACAAAACUUUGUGUUUGAGAACAUCCCACGUUAGAUACUUGAUGUUAUUUUCUUUUGCUAUCACUUACAUUUUUUGUAGUAUUUAAAUUGUACCUUGAUUAAUUUUAAUUUUUGCAAGAACCUUUUUAAUAUUUUUAGUUUAGUAAAUGAUUAUAUUUGCGUUUGUCUAAAUUGCAUGACUAUAUUUAUAUUAAUCUAAAUGACCGAUUCGUCUAAUGUUUAUUUUUAGUUAACAUAGAAGUUUUGUAAUCAACGAUUAUAACUUUACAUAAAUAAAUAAAAACAUAAAUCUCUUAAUUAAUAAUUUAUUUAAAAUAAUUUAUUAAUAAUUAUGAUUUUUUACCUUAAAAUUUUAAUAUUUUUGCAACCCUGGUUUCCAUGGGUUAUAACCUAAUUAAUACUAUUGUGAUAGAUAUUGUUUUACCCCAAAAAUUAUCAUGUACCAAUUAUUUUUUCCUAUGACAUUUGGUGAACAAAUACAUGGGAGAUCAUUCAAUUACGAGAACAGAUUUCAAGUGGGAUGUUGAACUAAAUUAAAUGCAAAAAUGAGAUCAUCAAGAUUUGUAAUUGGUUUUCUUGAUUCCAAUACUAGACAAAACCAGGUUCAAAAUGAUAAAUAUGCUGCAAAACCUCAAAUUGAGUUUUGUAUAUCAAAAGCGUUAGUUGAGGGUAUGGCUGUAAACGAAUUGUUCGUGAAUCGUUCGGCGGGAAUUUAGUUUAUGUUUGUUUAUUUAAUAGAUGAACGAACAUAAACACAAAUUGUCAUUCGUUUAGUUAAACGAACGAACAUGAACAAUGAUCCCGUUCGUUCAAUUAUGUUCGUGAACGUUCAUUUAAGUUGUCCGUUUAUAUAAGUUCAUUUUAUGCUCAUAUAUGCUUAAUUAUGUUUGAUUAUAUUAUAAUAUUAUAUGUUCAUUUAUGUUCAUAUAGGUUUAAUUAUGUUUGUUUAUCUUUGUUCAUUUAUGUUCAUUUGUUUAUGUUCGUUUUGCAUGCUCACGAACAUAAACCAACGAACAUGAAUAAUGUAAUUUGUUAAAUGAACCAACAUGAACAUGAAAAUUCGUUCGUUUAUCUGUCCAUGUUCGUUUAUUUGUUUGGCUAACUUAAACGAACGAACAGGAGCGAAACACAAGCAAUAAGAGCUAGGGGGCCGAAACUAAAAUUUACAAAAAACUAUAUAUAUAUAUAUAUAUAUANNNNNNNNNNNNNNNNNNNNNNNUAUAUAUAUAUAUAUAUAUAUAAUAUUUAGAAUUUAUCAUUGUAAAUAUAUAUGUAAAAUCAUAAUUACUCCAACUUUAUUAACUUCAAUUUGAUUACCCUUACAUUUGUACCUCGUCUUUUAUUUCUGUGUAGACUUCUUUUAUGUUAGUACUUACUCCAUCUUUAUUACCCUUAUACAAAUAUUUUUAUCACCCAUGUUCAUGACCAGUGCCCUGUAUGUCUAUGAUGUACUUACUGCAUCUUUAUUACCCCUAUACAUACAUCUAUAUCUAUAUCAUAUAAAUAUAUAAAUGAGAUACUUAUCAGUAUCUAGAAACAAAGACGGAGAAAGUAGUAAGAGAUGUUAGCGUAUGAUUUAUGAUCCAUAUGUUUUGUAUGUAUAGAGUAGGCCUAUCUCAUGUUUGGCCCGUUUUCUAUUUUGUAUUGUUCGUGUAUUUAUAUACGUUGGCUAUAUGGAAUGAAAGGGGGAGAGAUACGAAACAUAACAUGGUAUCAGAGCAUAAUAUAGUCUGAUUGCCAUAAACCCUAGCCGACGUCCUUCUUCUCAUCAUCUUUAGGUAUCUGAUCUUUCUUUCAACCUUUCCUCUUGAUUUUUCUUUCUCUCCCUCUCAUCAUGUCAAUCACAGACAAACCCUCCUCUACAAUUAAUAUCAAACAUGCAGUCCCAUUCGUUCUAGACUUGGAUCAAAUGAAUUAUGAUAUUUGGCGAGAACUAUUCGAAAUUCACUAUAUCGGGUAUGGUGUCGAUGAUCAUCUCAAGUCCUCUGCUCCAAUAACGACUGAAAAAGAAAAAGAAAAGGAAAAAGACAAAGAAACAGAAGAAUCAAUGUCUGUGAAGGAUGCAUGGGUUCGCAAGGACUCUAUCGUAAAAUCAUGGCUAUAUGCCACUCUCUCUAUCCCUCUUCUCAAUAUGAUAUUCAAGAAGCAAGCAACAGCUUUUGAAAUCUGGGAAAAUCUUGAAAAAGUUUUUCGCGAUAACAAAGCCUCGAAAAUCAUUCAGCUUGAUCGAGAAUUGAGAAACAUCUCUCUUGGUAACUCUUCCAUCACAGAAUACUGUAACAAAAUCAAAUCCCUUGCUGAUAGAUUAGAACACAUGGAUGCUAAGGUGUGUGAAAUUAACCUGGUGGCAUAUAUGAUUAAUGGACUGUCUAAGAAGUUUCAGUACAUAGCUAUUAAUAUCCGACACAGGGACCCGCCUCCAUCUUUUUGGGAUGCUAGAUCUAUUCUCCUUUGUGAAGAACAACAGAUGCUUCUCGAUGAAUAGAAGGAAUCUCUCCACAGACAUGCCGACACUUCAUCCUCCUCACACGCUCUCACUGUUCAGAACUCAAACACCAACUCAUCUCAAUGGCGUAAUAACUUCACCAACAGCAGUAGUAAUCGAGGCGGCUAUCGUGGGGGACGCGGUGGCCGUCGUGGUGGUCGGGGAGGAGGGCGCUAUGGCGGUCGGUAAAACAAUGGCGGCGACGGCACUUUUUUGAGUGGCAGUCAAUAGCAACACAAUCAGCGACAGGGUAAUUGGGUUUGGUCCUACGCCCCUCAACCACAUCACAUAUUAAAUCAGCAAGGCCUUCUGCCAAGCCCAGGUGUUUUUCAGCAUCAGGAAAAUGGGCCCAGAGCACAUCCAUCCCAACAGAACAAUAACCAACAUCAGUUUUUUUCACAAGCCCAACAGCCUUUUUCUCACCAACAAGCAUAUCAAGUUCAACAGCAAAAUCCCGAGCACACUGCACUUCCACAAAUGUUCAAUACUAUGACAUUAAAUGAUUCGGGCUCAGCUGAAUGGUACAUGGACACUGGUGCAACCUCGCAUCUUCACUCAAAUGCAGGUAUACUCAAUUCUGUUUCAGAUAAAAUUAGUAAUUCUUCUUCAUCUGUAUUAGUUGGUGAUGGAUCUUUAAUACCUAUGACUAAACUGGUCACACUACUCUUCCGCUUCCUAAUCCUUAUCGUACCUUGACUCUUCAGAAUGUUUUAAUUACCCCCUCUAUAAUUAAAAAUUUAAUUUAUGUUCGUCGUUUUGUUCGUGAAAAUGACUGUUCCAUUGAAUUUGACACUUUUGGUUUUUCUGUGAAGGAUUUCCGCACCAAACAAAUUCUAAUCCGAUGUGACAGCCACAGUGAUCUAUAUCCCGUCACUUUUCCAAAAAAAUCAAGCUCUCGUUUCCGUUGCUCCAUCCAUUUGGCAUCGACGUCUUGGCCACCCCGGUCACCACAUUUUCAAGCAUUUAGUUCACAAUCGCUAUAUUUCGUGUUCAUCUAAUAAAAACCCUACUUUAUGUUAUUCAUGUCAACUGGGCAAACAUGUUAAAUUGCCUUUUAGUUCAUCUAUUUCUGUCUCUCACUUUCCUUUUGAAUUAAUACACUCUGAUGUUUGGACUUCUCCUAUUGAAAGUUUGAGUGGUAUUAAAUAUUAUGUCAUAUUUUUAGAUGAUUUCUCUCAUUAUGUAUGGGUCUACCCUAUUCGUGCCAAAUCCGAUGUUUUUGACAAAUUUGUGAAUUUUAGGAAUUUCGUCAAUAAUCAAUUUAAAACUGAUAUCAAGUCUUUUCAAUGUGACAAUGGAGGUGAAUAUGACAAUCAAAAAUUUCAUCAACUCUUCUCUCAAACCGGUAUCCAAUUUCGGUUUUCGUGCCCUUACACAUCUCAACAAAACGGAAAAUCCGAACGCAUGCUCCAUACUUUAAAUAACGCUAUUCGUACUCUUUUAUUUCAUGCUCGGCUUCCUCCAACUUAUUGGACCGAAGCUCUUCAUAUGGCGACUCAUCUUAUAAACAUUCUUCCCUCCACCACCCUCAAUAAUGACACUCCCUUUUUUAGAUUACACAAUCAAAACCCAUCUUAUGACCACCUUCGUGUGUUCGGUUGUCUCUAUUUCCCACAUAUUGAUGCUCAUCACAAACUUUGCCCAAGAUCAACUCCAUGUAUUUUUCUUGGAUACCCAACUAACCACAAAGGGUAUCGUUGCCUCAAUCUUGACACAAAUCAAAUCAUCAUAUCUCGCCAUGUAGUAUUUGAUGAAACUGUUUUUCCAUUCGGGUCAAUGACACCAAACAAAGCUCCUUCCUACACAUUUCUUGAUGAUCUCGACUCCUCUCACCCUCUCACUUCAACACCGGUUCCAACUCAUAUUGGUCCGACUAUCGCCCCCUCUAUACCGUCACAUAUGAACCCACCACCCCAAACUCUCUUUCAAUCCUCAGACCCAUCUCCUCCAACACCCACAAGCUCAGAUCAACCUACUUCACCUUUGUCUAUCAGCCCUAACGAUUCUCAUGACUCUCCUUCUUCCCCUAUAUCGUCGACCAUUCCUCAAACCUCUACUCACUCACAGCAUCCAAUGCUUACUCGUGCUAAACAAUGCAUAUUUAAACCCAUUCGAAAACUAAACCUUCAUGUUGACACCACUGCUCCUGUUCCCAAAAAUUAUCUCCAGGCUUUUAAGGAUCCUAAUUGGCUUAAUGCAAUGAAUGAUGAAUAUACUGCUCUUAUCUCUAACAAAACUUGGGUACUUGUUCCGAGACCUCCUGAUGCUAACAUCGUUAAUUGUAUUUGGUUGUUCAAAAAGAAACUUAAUGCAGAUGGGUCAUUAUCGCGCUACAAGGCGUGUCUUGUUGCUAAUGGUCGCAGUCAAAGCCCUGGUAUCGACUGUGACGAAACUUUUAGUCCAGUUGUGAAGCCAGCUACUAUCCGCACAGUCCUCAGCAUUGCCAUCACCCAUAAGUGGCCUAUCAGACAACUAGAUGUGAAGAAUGCAUUUCUUCAUGGACAUUUGCAGGAGACAGUAUAUAUGCACCAGCCACCGGGUUUUCGGGAUCCUUCUCGCCCUGAUUACGUUUUCUUACUUCAGCGACCGUUGUAUGGUCUCAAGCAAGCACCACGAGCAUGGUUUCAGCGCUUUGCUACUUUUAGCUCACGUAUUGGCUUUGUUCAUAGCAGAUGUGACUCCUCGUUAUUCAUAUACAGACAGGGCACUCAUAUAGCAUAUGUGUUACUAUAUGUAGACGACAUUGUUCUUACAGGCUCCUCUUCUCAGUUUUUGGCUCACAUCAUUUCUCUAUUAAGUGCAGAGUUCUCUAUGACUGAUCUUGGGGAUCUUCACUAUUUUCUAGGUAUCUCUGCCACUCGUUCGUCUGACGGCUUGUUUUUAUCUCAACACAAAUAUGUCACUGAGAUUCUUGAUCGGGCAUCUAUGACAAACUGCAAACCUGCAUCUACGCCAGCCAACUUGUUCGCUAAGUUUGAUGGAACUGGUCCUGCUGUUGCUGACCCUACCUUAUAUCGCAGUCUGGCUGGUGCAUUACAGUACCUUACAUUCACUCGUCCGGAUAUUACGUAUGUUGUUCAACAGAUAUGCUUAUACAUGCAUGAUCCACGGGAACCUCAUUUCACUGCUCUCAAGCGCAUCUUGUGAUAUCUUCGAGGUACUGCUACGCAUGGCCUACACUUAUAUACCUCUCCCAGUCGUUCCCUCGUUGCCUACUCUGAUGCUGACUGGGCUGGAUGCCCUGUCACCCGUCGCUCUACGUCUGGUUAUUGUGUUUUUUAGGACCCAACCUUCUCUCAUGGUCCUCCAAAUGUCAGAAUACGACUUCACGGUCCAGUGUCAAUGCCGAAUAUAGGGGAGUUGCCAAUGCUGUUGCUGAAGCAUGUUGGAUUCGUAAUCUUCUUCUAGAACUUCACUAUGUCCCUGCCAAGGCUACCAUUGUUUAUUGUGAUAAUGUAAGUGUAGUUUAUAUGUCAUCCAAUCCUGUCCAUCAUCAACGUACGAAGCACAUAGAGAUUGAUUUGCAUUUUGUUCGAGACAAAGUUGCUACGGGUCAUGUGCGUGUUCUUCAUGUCCCGUCUUCUUUGCAAUAUGCGGAUAUUUUUACGAAGAGUCUUCCGUCAUCAUUGUUUCUUGAGUUUCGAACCAGCUUGAACGUUCAUGACUCUCACCACGUUCAACCUGCGGGGGGCUGUUAGCGUAUGAUUUAUGAUCCAUAUGUUUUGUAUGUAUAGAGUAGGCCCAUCUCUUGUUUGGCCCGUUUUCUGUUUUGUAUUGUUCGUGUAUUUAUAUAUGUUGGCUAUAUGGAAUGAAAGGGGGAGAGAUACGAAACAUAACAAGAGACUCAUAGUCUUAAGUGAUAUGAAGAGAGACAAAGAGAAAUUUGUACAUGCGUUGUGGAGUCAGCGGAGAAGAAAGCAGUGGUGGUCCGACGCUGGCGACUCGGGGAGGAGAGAGAAUAAGGAGCCGGCAGAGAAGAUUUUGCUGAACCCGAAAAAGGGACAGAGCAAGAAAUCCGGUGAGUUAUAAGUUACACGAGUGCAUAACAGUUAUUGUUUCAAAUAAAAGAAACGGAGGCGAUAGUAUUUUUUGGGUUUAUGAAAUUGAAGAUGUAAGUAAAUAAUUGAUUUUAUGGUAUUUUUAUUUGCUUAUUUGUAAGUUUCCAACUUUUUAUACGAUUAUUUUGUAUAUUUCCUGCUUUCUAGUUAAAUUAGUUUUUCUUAGUAAGUUACCUGAUAAUACAUGGUUACUUUUGGAUUUCUAAAAAUCUUAAGUUUAAUUACUGAUAUUCAGUAGAAAAAUGGAGAGGGGCCAGUGUUUUAAUUUCUUAGAAUAUUAACUUAUAUAAUCACGAUUCUAUAGUUGUUGCUAUUUAGUAUAAAAAAAAACAGGGGUAGCCCCUUCUAUGUUCCGCCUCUGCGAACGAACAUGAACAAACUCUCGUUCGUGUUCGUUCGGCUCAUUUACAACUCUAGUUGAGGGGUAUGUUUUACUAAAAUUUAAACAUAAAAGAGUUUGGAGAGAAAAUUAUUUUAUUUAGCUAAAUACAAUUAACUUAACCUACUUAAACCAUUUUUCAGUUUUAAAAUAAGAUAAUCAAAAAAUAACAUUUAUUUUAUAAACAUAUUAUAAAAUUGUACUUUAUAAUAGCAACCAUGUCAUCCGGCCUAUAUUUGAACGAAAAUGCCAGGUUGCUCAGCGAGGAGAGGAUAGUAUGCUCAUAUAUAUGAUACAUAAAAGAAGGUAGGUUUUGAUUGUUCGUUGAUUAGUACACCCCUGAUGCUUGUAAUUAAAGACGAGAUCAAGGUUGUACGUCUCUGGUAAGUUGGCUUUCUUUGUGAUAUCGACCAACCAAGUGGGUUGGUUUAUCUAUUCUUUUCUAUUGAAAAACUAGUUGUGAAACUCGUAUAUUAUAUGGGUUAAUUAAAACAUAAUGUUAAAUAAGAGCGAUUAAAUGAGAAGUUUAUUUGAGUUUGAAAUACGAAAUAAGUGAAAAUUAUGAAAAAAAAAAACAUGCAAAAAAGAAAUUAAUUAAAAUUAUGUGUUUAAUUGAUAGACCCGUGUACUAAAUGAGUUAUUAUAAUAAAAUGUUAAAUACAAUGGUUUAAAGUGUAAAUUUAUUUGAAAUUGAAAUUGAAAUUUUAAAUUUCAAAUUUGAAAUUAAUAGUUAUUAUAGUAGGUUUAAUUUAUGGAAACUAAAUUAAUAAUAUAGUGGAAAUGAAUAAUGAUGUAAUUGACAAGUGGAAAAUAAAUAUAUUUCAAAAUUAUAACAAAAUGACAUGUGGCAAAUUAAAUGAGAGAAUGACAAGUGGCAAUAACAUUUUCAUUUAUUAGGGUAGAUAGUUAGUUGUCUGCAUGAUCCGUUUCUUUUUCAAAUUUUGCAAAACCUCUAUUGUGUUUGAAAAUUUGUUAAUUUUUAACAUAUUUUUCGAUUUUCGAACAUGUUUUUUAUCAGAAACUAUUUUUUGAUAAAGGUUAUUCCAAAACUCUUUGUGAGUUUCGAUCUUGUUCUUUACUAUAACUUUACUUCAACUUGUUCUCUAUGUUAUAUAGAGGAGUGAUUGUACAUAUUAUAAAGAUAUGUCACUUGAACUAUCUCUUUUUUAUUUUAUUAUAAGAGGUAUAUAGAAAUAAAAUUAUGACAUGUCUUAUUUAUUUUUAGUGAACUAUUUUNNNNNNNNNNNNNNNNNNNNNNNNNNNNNNNNNNNNNNNNNNNNNNNNNNNNNNNNNNNNNNNNNNNNNNNNNNNNNNNNNNNNNNNNNNNNNNNNNNNNNNNNNNNNNNNNNNNNNNNNNNNNNNNNNNNNNNNNNNNNNNNNNNNNNNNNNNNNNNUAUAUCAAGAUUUUUAAAUUCUAUAUUUUAUAUUUCAAUAGCCAAAAUAACUAAUUUAUUCAAGGUAUAAUGUAACAUCUCGAUUCCCUGUAUUUUAGUGACCCUUGAUAUGAGAAUUAUUUGUAUUUUCAUCACUAAUGGCAUUUUUGUAAUUUUUAGGAGUGACUUGCAUACGCUGAGCAUACCCAAACGUAUGUUGGACGUACGUGGCAUGGUCCAAAACUCUAAUAUUUAUGGUUUGCACCCUAUUUAAAUCUCAUUAUAGCCUCAAAAACCUUUCAUUCAUCAGCCUCCAUCCUCCAACUCUAACCUAGCUAACCUUAAUCCAUUUUUAGAGCAUCUUUGAGCCUUGAAUAUGUAUUUUGGUGAUCUUGAAGGAGGAAGAAGGAAGAAGAGACCAUCUUAGAAGAGUGAAGCACUUUGGAUCCAAAACACAUCAUCAUUUGGCACUACUUUGAGGUAAAAAAAAACUCUAACAUUGAUGAAGUUUUGCUUAAAUCUUGAUUAGCCAUGGAUUGUGUUCAUUUUGGUCCCAUAAGCUUGAUGUAUUUGAUUAUGGGUUACUCUAAUUUAUUUGAAUUGUCCUUUCAGACAUUUUAGAGUAUUUAGAGCCAUAAAAAUGUAAUCUUGGCUCUUAGUUUCUUUCCAUGCACAUGCUAGAAUGUCUUAAUGGGUUAAUAAGUUAGAAUUUUUGUUGUUGGACACCUUCUAGACAUGUUAAGUCAUAAAGUUGGGAACUUUAUGACUUAGGGCAACUUUUGGGACUAGAUCUGAUCAUUUGACGUGUUGGCUUAAUGAAUUAAGAGCUUAAAAGAAAGUUGGUGGUUCGGCAGAGUACGUUGGGCGUACCAGUUGGUAGGUUGGCGUACUUGGUCAGCACCCCGUAACCUGGUCAAUGGCGAACUACGUUGCACAUAGUUACUGAGCAUGUUGAGCAUACUCAUUCAGGAGGCUUCCUUGACUUUUCUUGACUUGUUGACUUUGAUCCUUUGACCAGAAGUUUGACCAAGAUUGAAUUAGGGGUAUUUUAGGUAUUUUGAGUUGUGGUUGCGCUUGGGUCACUUUUAUUGUAUAGGUGACUGGUAGAGUCAGCAUUUAGAGUGGUGAUCUGCUUAAUGUUCUUUUCUGCUUUCGUUCAGACUGUGAUGUGAGUUUUCCUCACUGUACUUAUGGUUCGAAGGCACCAAAGUUGUCCCACAUGAUUUUGUAUCCUAGUUAUUUUGUAUUAUUGCUAUGUUGAGUAUGUGUUAGAAUGGUAGAUUUGUAUGAUUACGUGUGUUCACUGUGUAUACGUUAGAGUGGUAGAUCUGCAUGAUUACAUGUUUGCUAGUUAUUGAUAGUUAUGGUACAUGUCGACAUGUUGUGGUUGUUAGGUUGAGGUGGCCUUGCUUUGUGUUGAAGCCCAAGAUACCCAGGGCAGUUCGGAUAGGAUAUAGGCCCUAUGUGGCGGUCCAGUCAGGCCAAAGGUCUGUAGAGCGGUGAAGAUAGGAUGUAGGCCAACGUGGCGGUCCAGUCAAGCUGAAGGCCCAUGUUUGCUUGCGGUUAUCUGUUUGGUUGUGUGUGGUACUUUGGGGGGAAAUCACUAAGCUUUGGCUUACAGUUUCAGUUUAUUGUUUCAGGUACUUCAUACGAUCGUGGGAAAACAAAGGCGUAAUCGUGCACACAUCCUCUCGAUUUUAUGAUUAUGGAUUUUGGAAUACUUUGAUUUUAUUAUUACUCUUGGAAACAAUGUUUUGUAAGCAAUUAUGGUCUAUGGUUUGGUUUUGAAAAAUUGAAAAUUUUACUUAGAUUUUUUGGAUGUUGCAUAUAACCCAUAAAGAAAUAAUCUAAUACAAAAUAAUAUUUUUUUUAAAAAAAAGGAAAAAAACAAUAAAUUAACGUUGUUUCCUUCUCAUAUAUUGGAAAAAAUGUUUUGAAAAGUAUUAGUAAUGAUAAGGUUGUGAAAAUCUAUCAAGAUACAAGACCUUGAUGAAUACAAUUGUAAGAACUUAUUAUUAUUUAUUAUUAUUAUUAUUUUCUAAUACAAUUCAACCUACUCAUAACUAGUGUGCAUGUNNNNNNNNNNNNNNNNNNGUGUGUGUGUGUGUAUAUAUAUAUAUAUAUAUAUAUAUAUAUAUUUGAUUUUCUAGAUGUUUCAUUUAAAUAGUGAAUCAUUCGGGUUUACGUUAUACACUCGUCACUAGUUAUUCAAUUAAAAUGACAUAAAGUUAUACUUUCUCAUGAAAUUAGUUUCAUAGAAAAACCUAAAAAUAUAAGGAAUAAAUGAUAAACUUGAAAAGGAGUAAAAAAGAAUGAUAACAAGCGAUGUUGGGUGAAUAUGAGAGAAAAAAAUUAAAAAUAAAGUUGGCAAGACAUUGACUUCAAAACUCCUAUCAAGGGUGCGUCGACAAAACUAUUUGCUAGCUAGAAGUUGAGAGUUAUAACUUUUAUUUAUAUAUAACUGUUUGGUAAAAAUAGUUGUAAACUUUUAAAAUAUGUAAACUUGCAUAUCAUCAAAAAGUUAAAAUCCUAUUAACGUGAACUGGUCCUUUUUCUUGAUUCUUGAAUGGUUAACCUUAGCUAAAUGUUGGGAUUUAUAAUUGCAAUCAAUAUGAACAAAAGUCCACCAUUUUCUAAAAGAGGUUUUUCGGGAGAACGCUAUGACAGUUAAGCUAAAGCUUUUAUGAUAUGGUAAUAUGUAUGUCAGUAUGUGUGUGUGUGUGAGAGAGAGAGAGAGAGCGAGAGAGAGAGAGAGAGAGAAAGAGAGAGAGAAUGUACAGUCGUGUGUUGGUCCUUUAUAGUUAAGGGUAUUAGGACUUGUAGCCAGGAUAGUAGUGUCGGUACCUUUUCAGGGUGACAACUCUCAUUGGUGCGUUAGACACUCUUUCUUCAGUCGACAUAUUAAAAGGAUAUCAAUUAAGAUUAGAAGCCCUAAUAAACAAAAGUAGGGAUUUAUUUAUUUUAUAAUGUAGUUUAAUUAUAUACUAAAAUGACUAAAAAUGAUGACAUGUAAAACAUAUAGUCGUGGGCAUCUUUGGUUAAACUAACUAGUGGAUGGUAGUUGAAAGUGAAAACUGCAACUUUAAAUUGUGUAGAUUUAUUUGGAAAAAAUAGCUUUUACAUAUAGAAAAAAAGCUAAAAUUCUCAAAAUCUAUAAAAAAUAGAUUUUUAAUUAUGAAUUUUUCGUUUAAAAUAAAAGCUUAAAACUCUUAUAAAUUUGGCAUGAUUUUAUGGGUAUUACAAGUUGGUAUCAAAGCCUUGGUUUGAGUGAACUGGAGGCACACUCGUGUGAAUCCAGUCUCAAAUCAAGGAAAGAUUUUCAAAAUGAUUUCUAAAUGGUUUUCAAAAUAAGUAAAAGAGGAUGCAGAGUGUACGAUCAGCCGGAGCCAGUAACUAGACCCCAAAAUACCAUGCAGUUAUUUGAUCAUGUGAUAUGUUAGAACAACAUGCUAGUACUAGGCUAGGGAUCUUCAUGAAUUGCAUGUUACAAAUUGUCUGAUUACAUGAUGUCUGAUAGCCUAGGGUUUACCUUAUAUGAAAUUGACAUCAUUACUGUAGUUGCUUAGCAUAUGCAUCGCGGCCGUACAUUAUUAAGAUCUUAUAGCCUGAGAAUGUUUGGUUUGGCCUUAUUUCAUGUUCUUGUUUGAUGAAGGGAUUAGGGUAGGAUCAUGUAUUCGAAAGUCUAUAGGGUCCAAUGAUAUGUAUGGCUAGCAUACACGAGUGUUGCAGGGUUGUUGGAAGUUUCAUGGGUGGGUUGUGUGAGGCUGGUACGUCAGUUACGAGAUAGUUAGCCUUCCUCUAGGAGUGAGGAUUGAGCGACCACCAUGUAUAUGUAUAUUAUUAGGGUGUUUUGGUGAAACUUGAGACAGAUAUGGGUAGGUGUGGAAGGUAGUAUGGGCCCGUACUACUGAAAGCACAGGACCCAUACGCGUAGUAAGGAAGUCACAACCCCUAGGGUUUAGUUGGGAGUUGGUUCCCUGUUAUUUGUGCGAAUUAUCUGAUAUCUUCCUGGUGUAUUUUUAGUAUGGUGAUUACGAGGCAUUUUGUGAUUGGAUCCGGAUCGGGAUCAGGGCAGGACUAUCAGGUUGCCCCUGUAGCACCCGAGAUCAUCAGUCGGGAUGUGCCAGCAUUAAUAGAGGACCGAUUCAGGGAGAUCAUCCACAAGGAGGUGGUCGACAUUGUCUAGGGCAGAUACCGGAAAUGUUUGGGGCUAUCAAGACCGGUAUGAUGGAGUAUUUUGAUGACAGGUAUGUAGCCUUAGUCGAGACGACUGUUGUAUCAGCUACGACAGCUGUAACAGCGACAUAGGGGAGCUAGUGGGGGCUUCCAGUACCAGGACUUCGAUAACACGAAGCCCCUAACCUUUGAUGGGACUCAGGAUCAGAUCAUAACCAUGAGGUGGCUGUCUGACGUGGAGGGAUGUUUCUUCACGUGCUUAUGUCCUGUUGACCAGAAGGUUAGAUGUGCCUUGAACUUGCUAAAUUUUGGGGAAAAGGACUGGUGGAGAUUGAUGAUUGGGUCAUAUACGAAUGGAUAGAGGGUUGUUGUUACUUGGGAGCAGUUCAGGGAUAUGUUCUGCGCUCGCUACAUCCCACAGGUCAAGCGCGGGCGGCUAUCGUAGGAUUUCUUAGAUCUGAGACAAGGUACGGAUUCGGUAAUGGAGGUCACUUGCAUGUUUACUGAGAGGGUGAUGUUUUGCCCGAAGUUUGCUUUCGACUAGGCUCAGAUGACACAUUAUCUGAGCAUGCUCAAGAAUGAAAUCCGUCAGUUUGUUGCCACCAAGAGAUGUUAUACAAUGUUGGAGUUACAAGAGGCCGCUAGGCAUCGUGAGUUAUAGAUUGAGCUGCAGUUGAGGGAGCAGCGACAGGCCCCAACACAGUCACAACCGGCGCCGAAGCGGUCUAAGACCGCUGAUACUAGGUAUGGGGUACAGUCAGGCCGCACUUGUGGGAAGUGCAGAAAGGCUCAUUCGGGGAUUUGCCGAUCAGGGAGCGGGUGCCACAAAUGUGGCAAGCAAGGCCAUCUGGCCAGGGAUUGCAGGGAGCAUACUCCAGCUCCCGGAGUCAGACAUUGUUACCAUUGUGAGUAGGUGGGCCAUAUAAAGGCCCAGUGUCCCCUACUAGCCGCCAAGCCGGCGUAGGAUCCCACGCCUGCUACACUGAGGAUUACUGACGAGAGGUCGGGCAGAGUAGAGCCCUCGAGGGCUCAGGAACGCGCCUUCCAACUCACAGCAGAGGAGGUCAGGGCAACACCAGAUGUGGUUACUGGUAUGAUUAUAUCCCUUAUCUUACUGAUUAUAUCUAUUUUAUGCUUAUCUGUUUCUACUUGUGAUUAGGUAAGUUUUUAAUGAGCUCCUUACCUUCCUUGAUGUCAUUUGACUCGGGGGCGAGUCGGCCAUUUGUCUCUCAGACAUUUAGUAGGGAGUUCAGUGUGCCAUUAGGAGAGCUAGAGUGUCCGUUGUGAGUCUCUAUCUCCAACGAACAUAUGGUUUUUGCUUCUUCAGUCUAUCGGAGAUGUGAGUUGGAGAUCUUCGGAGUGUCCUUCCCGAUAGACUUGAUUCUGAUUCCCAUGGGGGAAGUGUGUGUGAUUGUGGGUAUGGACUGGCUGAGUAGAUUCGGUGGCAUGAUCGACUGCGAGGGUCAGCGAGUAGUGGUUCGAACCCCAGGUAGGGGAGAACAGAUUGUCUAUGGUGAGGGUUCCAAAUUGGGAUCAUGGUUUUGUUCAACUUCCAGGGCUCGACAGUACAUUUAGCACGGGUGUGCUGGAUAUCUAGCGUAUGUUGUGGAUACACGGGCCAGAGAUCAGAUUUCAGUUUCAGAGGUUCCAGUGGUCAGGGAUUUUGCUGACGUGUUCCUAGAGGAGUUACCAAGAGUGCCUCUGGAGAGGAAGGUCGAGUUUAGGAUCGACCUAGUGCCAGGUGCGGCCUCUAUCGCCAAGGCAUCGUACCAGUUUGCACCACCAGAGAUGCAGGAGUUGUCAUCAUAGUCGCAGGAACUGUUGGGCAAGUAGUUCAUUCGGCCAAACAAUUCCCCAUGGGGAGCACCGAUUCUUUUCUUCGGGAAGAAGUAUGGUUCACACCGGAUGUGCAUCGAUUACCGGGAGUUGAACUAGUUGACAGAGAAGAACCGUUAUCCAUUCCCAAGGAUAGAUGAUCUUUUCGAUCAGUUGCAGGGGGCAUCUUGGUUCUCCAAGAUAGACAUGAGGUAUGGGUAUCAUCAGGUCAAGGUUAGGGAAGAGGACAUGGAGAAGACCGCAUUCCAGACUUGUUAUGAUAACCCGAGAUUUCUAUCUUGUACAACCAUUCAACUCAAUCAAAGUCAGACUUGUUUCUGCUAUCUUUCAGCACUGUUUAGGGUCUGUUUGAGUGUUCUAAGCCUAGUACAUCCAAGGAUCGAGUGUUAGGAAGUAUCAGCUGAAGUUCAAAAGCACCAAGCAAGCCAUAAGCUCCAUAAUGAGGAGUUUACGACCACAACACAUGAGUUUAUGGCCGUAAACUCAUGGUGGCCAUAAACUCAUGGCCUUAAGUAUGAUAUUCCUUCACUUUUCCUCAUUCAUCACCAUUACAAGUCAAGAAACCCAUUUCUCUCUCAAGUAUCAUAAGGAUCUUCAUUUUUAUCUUCAAAAAUGUAAUUGUUUCAUCCUUUGAUUAGUUGAUAAAUCUCCUUAACUAGCAUCACCCUUUGCUUUCAUCCAUGAAAUUCAUCUUUUGGGGUUAGAUCUUCAAGAACACCAAGAACACACACUAGUUCUUUGGUCCAAAAACAACCAAUUCCCAAGAUCGAUAAAAGUUUACGGCCAAGAGCAUCUCCCUUGGCUGUAAACCCUUGUUAAGGCUCCUAGUUUGGCCAUAAACUCUUCUUAAGGCUAGGAAUGGGUCUUGAACACUUCCUUGAUGCUUGAAAGACCUUAAAACACCAUUUGGCACAAGACUUCAUGAGUUUACGGCCGUAAACACGUAGGGCCGUAAACCCUAUGGUCGUAAACACAAAGGGUCGUGAACACCUUGGCCGUAAACACCAUUGUGUGGCCAUACACCCCUUAUAUGUAGUCAUAUGUGAUUCUAACACCUCCAUUCAAGUGUUUCCUUGUCCCUAAGGUAUUUUCCCUUACAUGAUUAGUUGUAUAAUCUUUAAUUAUAUACAUAUAUGUGUCAUUAUAUGCUAAAUAGGAUCUGUGUAUGCUCAAGUCUUCACUUGAAACUUAGCAUCCUAUACCACUCUUUCAUCCAAACCAGUCACUACAGGUGAGUUCAUAUCCCUUAAUCUACCUUUUAAAUGAUUUUAAAUGCUUUUAUAUUUGGUGGGGGGGAUACAAGCUGAACAUUAUAGUUAUUGAAUCAAUCACAUAUGAUUAAUAACCAUCAAACAUAUGGAUUUCUUAUACUUCAAGAUGUUUAUCAAACAAAAUCUUUCAAAACAUUGUAUCAAACUCUUUUACAUGCUAAACUCUUUAUCAAACUCUUUUAAACUUAUAUAUUGUGAAAACCAUGUCUAUACAGAUAUAGUUAUAUAAACAAGGUUGGAAGGACUUAGGACUGAUAACUCACUUUAUUUCUUGUUCCUUGUUUGGUUGUGGACUUAGAGUUCCCUGUUGUUUGUCCGAGUGUCGUUUGAAUCUUAGUUAUAUAUUAUGUAUAUGUGUAUAGAUAUAAAAGCUUUUACCUCAGUUUAAUACCUUUGGGAAGCAAAGGUAUACAAACAUACACAGUUAUUCAAACAAGACUACUAGUAAACUAUAAUAGGUAUAGUUUAGAAGUAUACUGCUCACUAUUUCUAGUGCAAAGAAACAUAAGAGAGUCAGUUCAUACAUGAUUCAGUUCAAACAUACUAUAAUGAGAAACAGAAGAACAUACUAUAACGAGAAACAAAGAGGGACAUACUAUACACUAUACAAGAGAACAUAUAAUAUACUAGUACAGAGGGAAAAUACUAUACAAAUACAAGAAUACUAUAACACUAAUGUGAGCCACUACUUCAUGGCAUGGCAACCUACAGUCGUGUCACGUUUUGUAACUAGGGUCUCCUGGAGGGAGAGCAUGAAUUUAUGUAUAGAUCUAUACUGGACUGACCAUUCUACACCUUGCUGCUAGCUACAGUGGGACCUGCAGGUCUGCGGGUGACAAAUUUAGAAAAUAUAGGAUUUUCUAGGAUAUACAAACAUUUACUACAAACAUUUACUUUAUACAUUUACAAACAUUUUCUUCAAACAUAUACAAACAAAUGACACUAUAGUACUUAUGAACACCAGCUUUAAUGCUGAUAAACUCUUUCAAACAGGUCACUAGUAGACAGGUACAGAUGGCCAGAUUUUGAGAAGACGAAGCGCAUUCAAGACUCGUCUUUAUUUUGAUUAUUCAUUUUUGGCGUCUUAUAUUACUAACACAGAACACUUGUAUUGAAUUAUACUAUUGAUGCAAUGGAUGAUGUUGUUGCUUGUUUACUAUAUUUCGUUGUUAUGAUACUGUACAUUAGGGAUGUUAUUCGGGUCGGAACCGAACCGAGCCGACCCGAACCCGAAUAAACCGAAAACCGAAUAAGGGUAAUUAUAUGAACCGAAAACCGAACCAAAUAAGCAAUACGGGUUCGGUUCGGUUCGGGUAUUAUUCGAUUCGGUUCGGUUCCGGCCCGAAUAACCCAAAUAACAUGUACAAGAUGAUUAAGGAGCCGAAUAACCCAAAUAACAUUUACAAUGUGAUUAUAAAUAUUGUAUUUUGUAUGACUUUUGUAGCUUAUGAUAAACACAAAUAACACGUAUUAACUAUUCUUGAUAUAUAAAAUGUAAAAUCCAACCACCACAUUCUUAAGAUAUAGUUAUUAAGCAACAUAUUAAACACUAAACAUUAAACAUUUAAAACACCCAAAAAUCUAUCUAUAAGUAUAUAAGUUAAACAUUAAACAUUACGUGGGUAUUUUGGGUAACGAUCGAUAGAACACAAGACCGAAUAAGAAAUCGUGCAAGUGGAAAAAAAUGUGACUUUUCAUAUUCGGUUCGGUCCUUUUGGACCGAAUAAGCCCUUAUUCUGGUAACCCGGACCGAAUAACCCGAAAACCGAAUAAGCCUUAUAUAGAUACCCGAAAACUGAAUCGAAUUGCUUAUUCGGGUCUAAUUCGGUUCGGUUCGGGUUUUCGGGCCAAAUUCUCAUCCCUACUGUACAUGACGUCCUCCGCCCCAGAAUGUUUCCGUCAUUCCUGUUUUUGGGUGUGACAGAUUGGUAUUAGAACAUUGUUUAUAGUGAAUUGAGUAUAUCAACCCAUAAAAGAUAUACAAACUAUAAACACAAAGGGAUUAAAAUACUCUGACCAAGAGUUUAUACUUUUUAAAUAAUAAAAUAUUUAACUAAAAGUAUACAUACUUGCAUUCAUACUAGGAUCAGUGACAUACUAGAACAGAACAAAGUAUUACGAUUGUGGAACAGUACAAGUAGACUUGGGGAUGUAUGGUUAGUUUUGGGAAUGACAUAGCCUGAUCGACUAUGUUGGUCCGAGAAGUGAUUAGCAUAUGCCCAAGAAUGGUUGUGAUGUUGCAACAAGUCUAAAAACCUACCAACACUACUAAAAAGAAGCUUGAAAUACUAUAGGAGCAUUUUGUGUACUAUAAUUACUUAUGUGAAAAAUAAAAAGGUCUUUACUAGUAGGUCAAUAAUUGCUUAGUGGAUACCAUAAAGUUAUAUGUAACUAAGGUGUCAUAGACUUAGAAUCUGUGAUCUUUGCUUUACUUCAUGUUCCUUGUUUGGUUGUGGAUUUAGAGUUAGGGUCAUUUAUUCGAAGGUCUAUCCUGUUUUGAUUACAUAUAACUGGUAUGCACUACGCGAGUGUUGAAGUAACUGGUAAGGAUCAUCUUAUAAUUAUCUUAAGUAGUAUGUCUAUUUAUAUAAGAUUCUUAUACCCUUUUUUCUCGCGUAGAUAUCAUGGUUGGAUUCCAUCUCCCUGGCGACCCAUACUUCCCAAAUCAAGGAAAUGCUGGUUGGCUCGACGCCGAACCAGAAGAAGUACCUGCGAUAUCAAUAAUCUACCUUAGGUGGCUCCGAUCCUAAAUCCAAACCCUCGUCCAACAUUUCAAGGCCCGACACCCCUGUAGGCAACAAACUUGAACCGAUGGAGUCACGAGCAGGGUCAAUCCUUACCCUACAAUGGGGAUCGAAACUUCUACAAUCUUAGUGAGGGGGGCUCAGCAGACAGAGUCUUGCCUAUCCUGGUUCGUAGGAUUACAAGAAUUGAUGAUCAGGGAAGGGCAACCGUCAAUCGAGUCAUGGAGGUUGAUGUCGAUGCGGGAGUCAAUACAGUUCGCAUCCAUCAUCUAGAAACUGCUCAUGGAAGGACCCUGAACCAGAAUGUUGUCCUGCAAAGAGAAUUUACUGAGUCCCAAUAUGAAUUCAGGAGACUUUGAGCUUGUCAGGCAACGUUUGAAAGUCGCAUGCUAGACAUGGAGCGCCGUCUGGCAUAAUCACGGGCUCAUUCGAGCGGUUCUCGUCGUAGAUAGAGCCUGCUCUACUCUCUCUUUUGGAUAUAACUUAGUAUAUGUAAAAGCUCUAGUUUUAAAUUCUUGUCUAUGAUCAUACUCUAAACUUGUUAAUCUAUUAAGGUCUUGGUGCUGUCAAAAUUUUCUUAUGUUGGUUUGAUGUAAGACCUACUUCUAGGUCUUUUUCCCGAACUUAUUACAUCAUUAAUGCCAAUAUUAUUGACAGUUAUCUAACCUGUUAUAAAAUCUUUGUCCAAAUGUUUUCACACUCCUACUGUUAUAUCUCUAUUUCAAUCAUGCACUCAUUUAAUUGUUGAACUAUGGUGAUUUAGUCCAUGGAUCACUAUCAUUAUACUUACAAUCGAUUCUUACUAUUAUCUUCAUCUUUGUAAACUUUUAGUUAAAAGAUGCCUCUGUGUCGAUCAUCGAGACACAAUCCUCUGAUAACUCCAACUCAACCACCACCACCGCCUCCUCUAUAAUACAAUCUUGCAGCUCUCCAAGUUGCGGUAUCUGCGGCUGUUGCGAGAUCCUUAGCUCAAUUCAGUACGAUCGAUACUAGCAGAGGUGGAACAACGGUACAUUCUAAUCAAGGUGAUGUCCCAAUGCACUCUAGGGAGUUCUCAUACAAUGACUUCGCCAACUGCAAGCCCAUAUCCUUUAACGGAACUGGUGGAAUCAUUUCCCUCUCGCAAUGGUUCGAGAAAAAGGAGUCGAUCUUCGAGAUUUGCUCCUGUCCAGAAGGAAGCAAAGUAAAAAAUUUUGUCUGCACCUUCCCUCACAUGGUGGAAUAGCCAUAUCAAGUAGCUUACUCUGAUAGUGGCUAAUGUUAUGGGUUGGGAAGCUCUGAAGGAGCUCAUGAUUGAAAAAUAUUGCCCAAGGGGGGAGGUUCAGAAACUUGAACAGGAACUCUGGAGCCUAAACAUAAAGGGCUCUGAUAUAGUGGCUUAUAUUGUCAGAUUCAGUGAUCUGGUGGCAUUAUGUCCAAGAAUGGUCCCUACUGAAGGGAAGAAGAUAGUGAGGUAUAUAUGGGGGCUAGUGCCACCAUACCAAGGGAAUGUCUUGGCUUCAAACCCCGCUACUUUCGACAGUGCCAAGCGGUUGGCACAAUGGCUCAUUGAUCAUGGAGUCUGCACACCAACAACAACAACCAUCACUGUACCCGAACCAUCCAAAGCCACAGACAACAAGCGGAAGGUCUGGGGUAACAAGAAGGAAAAAGCAGCGCAGAAAUAUACGAAAAAGUAGCAGGUCGUGGUUGUUCAUGCUGCGAUAGCACCUACUGCUACUGCGCCAACGAAGUAUGCUAGAAGGUUGCCCAAGUGCGACAAGUGAAACUUCCACCAUAAUGGACCCUGCCGGGAGAGGCAGUGCGCUAACUGCAACAGGAAAAGGCGCACUACCCAUUUCUGCAAAGCUCCGACAAGGCCAAUCAACCAAGUCCCUGACAUUGGCAUGGGCCAAGCUUGCUACGGCUAUGGCGUGGUGGGUCACUACAAAAGUAACUGCCCGAAGGCAGGGAACGCGGGGGGAUUGGGAAGAGUUUUGGCUAUAGGCCACGAGGAAGCGACAGCCGACCCUACUGUGGUCAAUGGUACAUUUCUCCUCGAUAACUCUUAUGCAUGCAUACUGUUUGAUCGUGAAGCAAAAAAGUGUUUCGUGAACCAGAAAUUUGCUCACUUACUUAAACAAAAACCACGCGCACUUAAAGAACAUUCAAUGUAGAAAUGGCUAACGGAAAGACUGAGAGCACUAUCAGUAUAUACAUAGGAUGUACUCUAACUCUAGAUAUCCAUUCAUUUCCAAUCAACCUCAUGUUGAUCUCAAUCAAAAGUUUCGAAGUCAUAAUCGGCAUGGAUUGGUUGAGUCUUCAUCGUGCCGACAUCAUGUGUUUUGAAAAGGCUGUUUGCCUUAAUCUGCCAUCUAGCAAAGCUAUAGUUAUCUAUGGCGACAAACCCGACACGAAUCUUCAUAUCAUCUCAAUUAUUCAAGCUCAGAAGUACUUGCGUAAGGAAUAUCAUGCAUUCCUUGUUCAUGUUGUUGAUACGAGUCAUGAGUCGAAAGACCUAAAGAACAUCCCGGUAGUACGCGACUUUCCCGACAUCUUUCCAGAAGAACUACCAGGAUUACCACCGCAACACCAAGUCGAGUUCAAAAUCGACUUAGUUCCAGGGGAUACCCUAGUAGCCAAAUCACCCUAUCGUCUAGAACCAUCUGAGAUGCAAGAACUAUCCGAUCAACUUAACGGACUGCUCAGCAAGGGCUCCAUUAGACCAAGCUUCUCACCAUAAGGAGCAUAGGUCUUAUUCAUGAAGAAGAAAGAUGGAUCAUUCUGUAUGUGCAUCGACUACGGAGAAUUGAACAAGCUAACCGUUAAGAAUCGUUACCCUCUGCCUUGCAUAGACGAUUUGUUCGACCAACUGCAAGGGGCGAAUUACUUUUCAAAGAUUGAUAUGAGAUCCGGGUAUCACCAGUUACAAGUGCUAGAGGAGAAUGUUCUGAAGACAGCCUUCUGAACUCGUUAUGGACACUACGAGUUUGUAGUGAUACCAUUCAGAUUGACUAAUGCGCCCGCAGUAUUCAUGGGUUUAAUGAAUAGGGUGUGUCAUCCUUACUUGGAUCAAUCCGUCAUUGUAUUCAUCGAUGACAUACUUAUCUUCUCUCGUAGUGAGAAGGAGCAUAGUAAACAUCUGCGACAGAUCUUAGAAACACUACGGUCAGAGAAGCUCUACACGAAGUUCUGUAAAUGUGAAUUUUGGAUCCGAAGGGUCGAAUUCUUAGGCCAUGUGGUUAGCGAAGAGGGAAUUCAUGUGGACCCUUCCAAAAUUAAAGCCAUUGAGAGCUGGUCAGCACCGAAGACGCCUACAUAAAUUCGUCAAUUUCUAGUCCUCGCUGGCUACUAUCGUAGGUUCAUACAGAACUUCUCUAGGAUCGCAAAGCCACUUACUACGUUAACCCAGAAAGGUUUGACCUUUGACUGUGAAGAGAAACAAGAAAAGGCAUUCCAAACGCUGAAACGAGCCUUAUGCACUGCACCGAUACUAUCCCUCCCAGAAAGGUUAGAAGACUUUGUAGUUUAUUGCGAUGCAUCCAACCAAGGGCUCGACUGUGUCCUUAUGCAACGAGGUAAGGUCAUCGCCUAUGCCUCAAGACAUCUGAAGAUGCAUGAAGUAAACUACGCCACACACGAUCUUGAGCUAGGAGCAAUGGUAUUUGCUCUAAAGAUCUGGAGACACUACCUGUAUGGUACGAAAAGCACUAUCUUUACAGACCACAAGAGCCUUCAACAUAUAUUCAACCAGAAGGAACUCAAUAUGAGACAAUGAUAGUGGGUCGAGCUACUCAAUGACUAUGAAUGCGAAAUUCGUUAUCAUCCCGGUAAAGCCAACGUAGUAGUUGACGCCCUAAUUCAGAAAUAAUACUCUGGCCGUAGAGUCAAAUCAUUGACUAUGACUAUCCAUUCGCAUUUGUCCACGCAUAUCAAGGAGGCUCAAUUAGAAGCCUUGAAACAUGAAAAUGUGGCAGGUGAAUCCCUGAGAAGUAUGGAUAAAAACUUGGAAGUCAAGGGUGGCGGAGCCUUAUAUCUCAUGGACCGGAUCUGGACACCGAAACACGGUGGCUUCAGAGACUUGGUCAUGACCGAAGCGCACAACAAUCGAUAUUCCGUCCACCCAUGUUCAGAUAAGAUGUAUCUGGAUCUUAAUAAGUUAUACUGGUGGCAUAACAUGAAAGCAGAGAUUGCUAUCUUCGUGAGUAAAUGCCUUACUUGCACCAAUGUUAAGGUCGAAUACCAGAAACCCUCAGGUUUACUACAGCAACCGAAGAUACCAAAGUGGAAGUAGGAGCGAAUCACAAUGGACUUCAUAACCAAGUUGCCCAAAAUAACGGGUGGUCUCGAUACCAUUUGGGUGAUCGUUGAGAGGUUAACAAGGUCCGCACAUUUCCUGCCCAUCAAAGAUACUGACAAGAUGGAAAAGCUAACGAGAACAUACAUUAGGGAGAUCGUACGAUGGCAUGGUGUUCCUAUAUCUAUUAUCUCCAAUAGAGAUGGUAGAUUCACUUCAAGGUUCUGGCAGUCGCUACAGAGUUCCCUAGGAACUAGGUUGGACAUGAGUACAACCUACCAUCCGCAAACCAACAGACAAAGUGAGAGAACUAUUCAAACCUUGGAAGAUAUGUUGCGAGCCUGUGUGAUCGACUUUGGGAAGGCAUGGGAUACUCAUUUACCCCUUGUCGAGUUUUCCUACAACCAAAAUUAUCACACGAGCAUAAAGGCUACUCCAUUCGAAGUCCUCUAUGGCCGAAAGUGUAAAUCCCCUCUGUGCUGGGUUGAGGUGGGUGACACACAGUUAGCUAAAGGACGAGUUCCUGACAACACUCUCACGGGUCUGAAAAUUAUACGGGAAACGACAGAGAAGAUCAUUCAAAUUCAUGAAUGAUUGAAAGCCUCUAGAGACUGAUAGAAAAGCUACGCAGACAAGAGAAGGAAACCUUUGGAAUUUCUGGUGGGAGACCGCGUGCUAUUGAAAGUCUCACCCUGGAAGGGAUUGAUAUGCUUCAGAAAUCAUGGAAAGCUAAAUCCAAGAUACAUAGGGCCUUUCAAUAUUAUCUCUAGAAUUUGUCUUGUAGCUUACAAACUCAAACUACCUCGCGGACUUAGUAACGUACAUUCUACUUUCCACGUCUCGAACUUAAACAAGUGUCUAUCUGAUGGGACUCUUGUAAUCCCCCUCGACGAGAUCGAGAUCAACGAGAGCCUCAACUUCGUGGAAGAACCAAUAGAGAUCAUGGAUCGAGAGGUCGAGCAAACGAAGCAAAGUCGUAUCCCGAUAGUGAAGGUUCGCUGGAAGGCCAAGCGAGGACCAGAAUUCACUUGGGAAUGCAAGGAUCAAAUGAAACUGAAAUAUCCUCAUAUUUUCGCUUAGUUAUUUGUAACUACUUAAUUGCUUAAACUCUAAUUUCGAGACAAAAUUCUCUCUAACGGGGGGAUGAUGUGACAACCCGAUAUUUCUAUCUUGUACAACCAUUCAAGUUAAUCAAAGUCAGACUUGCUUCUGCUAUCUUUUAGCACUGUUUAGGGUCAGUUUGAGUGUUCUCAGCCUAGUACAUUCAAUGAUUGAGUGUUAGGAAGUAUCAACUGAAGUUCAAAACCACCAAGCAUGCCAUAAACUCCAUAAUGAGGAGUUUAUGGCCACAACACAUGAGUUUAUGGCCGUAAACUCAUGGCCUUAAGUAUGAUAUUCCUUCACUUUUCCUUAUUCUUCACCAUUUCAAGUCAAGAAACCCAAUUUCUCUCUCAAGUAUCAUAAGGAUCUUCAUUUUUAUCUUCAAAAAUGUAAGUGUUUCAUCCUUAGAUUAGUUGAUACAUCUCCUUAACUAGAAUCACCCUUUGAUUUAAUCCAUGAAUUUCAUCUUUUGGGUUAGAUCUUCAAGAACACCAAGAACACACACUAGUUCUUUGGGCCGAAAUCAACCCUUUUAGCUUCAAUAUCGUAAGUAUCCUUUCCAUAUACUUGUUAUCUAGUAGAAGCUCUUGAUUUGCAUCCUUGAAAACAACCAAUUCCCAAGAUCUAUGAGAGUUUAUGACCAGGAGCAUCUCCCUUGGUCGUGGACCCUUGUUAAGGCUCCUAGUUUGGCCAUAAACUCUUCUUAAGUCUAGGAAUGGGUCUAGAACACUUCCUUGAUGCUUGAAAGACCUUAAAACACCAUUUGGCACAAGAAUUCAUGAGUUUAUGGUCGUAAACACAUAGGGCCGUAAACCAUAUGGUCUUAAACACAAAGGGUCGUGAACACGUUGGCCAUAAACACCAUUGUGUGGCCAUACACCCUUUAUAUGCAAUCAUAUGUGAUUCUAACACCUUCAUUCAAGUGUUUCCUUGUCUCUAAGGUGUUUUCCCUUACAUGAUUAGUUGUAUAAUCACUAAUUAUAUACAUAUAUGUGUCAUUAUAUGCUAAAUAGGAUCUGUGUGUGCUCUAGUCUUCACUUGACACUUAGCAUCCUAUACCACUCUUUCAUCCAAACCACUCACUCCAGGUGAGCUCAUACCCCUUAAUAUACCUUUUAAAUGAUUUUAAAUGCUUUUAUAGGGGGAUACAAGUUGAACAUUAUGGUUAUUUAAUCAAUCACAUAUGAUUAAUAACCAUCAAACAUAUGGAUUUCUUAUACUUCAAGAUGUUUAUCAAACAAACUAUUUCAAAACAUUGUAUCAAACUCUUUUACAUGCUAAACUCUUUAUCAAACUCUUGUAAACUUAUAUAUUGCCAAAACCAUGUCUAUACAGAUAUAGUUAUAUAAACAAGGUUGGAAGGACUUAGGACUGAUAACUCACUUUAUUUCCUAUUCCUUGUUUGGUUGUGGACUUAGAGUACCCUGUUGUUUGUCCGAGUGUCGUUUGAAUCUUACUUAUAUAUUAUGUAUAUGUGUAUAGAUAUAAAAUCGUUUACCUCAUUUCAAUACCUUUGGGUAGCAAAGGUAUACAAACAUACGCAGUUAUUCAAACAAGAUUACUAGUAAACUAUAAUAGGUAUAGUUUAGAAGUAUACUAGUCACUAUAUCUAGUGCAAAGAAACAUAAGAGAGUCAGUUCAUACAUGAUUCAGUUCAAACAUACUAUAAUGAGAAACAGAAGAACAUACUAUAACGAGAAACAAAGAGGGACAUACUAUACACUAUACAAGAGAACAUAUAAUAUACUAGUACAGAGGGAAAAUACUAUACAAAUACAAGAAUACUAUAACACUAAUGUGAGCCACUACUUCAUGGAAUGGCAACCUACAGUCGUGUCACGUUUUGUAACUAGGGUCUCCUGGAGGGAGAGCGUGAAUUUAUGUAUAGAUCUAUACUGGACUGACCAUUCUACACCUUGCUGCUAGCUACAGUGGGACCUGCAGGUCUGCAGGUGACAAAUGUCAUACCAUUUCGACGUCUUCGUGCGUUGUGUUUUCACUAGUCGAUCAAGUAUGGUUACAAGCUCAUCACAGUAUACCUUAAUUAAUAAUUGGUUUAACAUAGUUAGUACAACAAUCAUUACUAUAUAUACAAUACUACAAUACUUCAUUAUUUUCCCAUUUGCAUUCACUUUGUGAUCUUCUCUCAUAAAUGAUAAUGUAAACUAUAUUUUGAUAAUGAUAGCUACUUGGGAAAAAUGCAUACUUUUACAAAGGAACAAACAUACAGAACAGUCGGGUCUUGGUAGAAGACUACAUUGUACUAGAAAAUAUAGGAUUUUCUAGGAUAUACAAACAUUUACUACAAACACUUACAAACAUUUACUUUAUACAUUUACAAACAUUUUCUUCAAACAUAUACAAACAAAUGGCACUAAAGUAAUUAUGAACUCACCAGCUUUAAUGCUGAUAAAAUCUUUCAAAAUAACUUGUAUUCUCAGGUCACUAGUAGACAGGUCCAGAUGACCAGAUUUUGAGAAGACGAAGCACAUUCAAGACUCGUCUUUAUUUUGAUUAUUCAUUUUUGGUGUCUUAUAUUAUUAACACAGAACACUUGUAUUGAAUUAUACUAUUAAUGCAAUGGAUGAUGUUGUUGCUUGUUUACUAUAUUGCAUUGUUAUGAUUCUAUACAUGACGUCCUCCGCCCCAUAACGUUUCCGUCGUUCCGGCUUUGGGGUGUAACACUCGUUAUGGACAUUACGAGUUCGUGAUGAUGCCGUUUGGGCUCACCAACGCGCCUAUAAUAUUUAUGGACCUGAUGAAUCGGGUUUGCAGACCGAUGUUCGAUCGCUCGGUCAUAGUAUUCAUAGACGAUAUCUUAGUAUACUCCAAGACCCGAGAGUAGCAUGAGAAGUACCUUCGGGGGUUAUUGGGAGUUUUGAGAUGGGAACAGAUUUAUGCCAAGUUCUCGAAGUGCGAGUUUUGGUUACGGGAGGUUUAGUUCCUUGGACACCUCGUUAACCAGGAGGAGAUUUUGGCCGAUCCGGCUAAAAUCAAGGCGGUUAUGUAGUGGGAGGUUCCGAAAUCUCCUUCGGAUAUCAGGAGCUUUCUAGAAUUGGCAGGGUUCUACCGGAGAUUCAUACAUGAUUUCUCCAAGAUUACAGUACCCCUCACCCGUCUGAUGAGGAAGGGGUGGAUUUAUGGUGGGCCCCCGAGCAGCAGAGGGCGUUUGAGACCCUCAUACAGCGACCAUGCGAGGCUCCAGUAUUGACUCUCCCAGAGAGAGUCGAGGAUUUUGUAGUGUUCUGUGAUGCAUCCAUCACGAGACUGGGGGUGGUCCUCAUGCAGAGAGGACGGGUGAUAGCCUAUGCAUCGCGGCAGCUGAAGCCGCAUGAGACGAGAUACCCUACUCAUGAUAUGUAGUUGGGAGCGAUGGUAUUCACUCUCAAGAUUUGGAGACAUUAACACUAUGGGGUCUGUUGUACCAUAUACACGGAUCACAAGAGCCCGAGACACAUCAUGGAUCAAAAGAACCUGAACAUGAGGCAGCGCAGGUGGCUAGAUGUAGUUAAGGACUAACUGUGAGAUCCUUUACCACCCAGGUAAAGCGAAUGUGGUGGCGGACGCUCUGAGCCACAAGUAAGUUGGAUCUUCCACACCAGCGACAUGUAUGAGGAUUGAAGGGUUUUGAGCAUUCUACCACACCUAAGGUGUACAUGCAACCCUAGAAACCUUGGAUCUAUGUUUGACUAAGACACAUGCAAAAUUGAUUUUCCAAGAUUCAUAACCUGUCUAGCAUACAUGGGGAACAUUUAAACAUAAAAGUUAGUAAGAAAACAUACCUUGUAGUACUUUGGAUUCCUUGAGAACCUUGUGAGCCUAGCAUCUCAAGUGUGAUGCCUCAAAUGUCUCACACAACACCAAAAGCACUUGGAAUAAACUUGAGAGAAAUAUCACACUACUUGAAAUCAGCUAGCCCUCUUCUUUCUUACUUAAGUACCGAUUUUGGUGAACAUAAGGAUCCUUAUAUAGUGUGUUACAAUUAGGGUUAUACCAUGUAAACCUUAAUUGUCAUGACUUUUCAUUUCCAUCACCCAUGGGUUCUAGAAACACCAUGGAGCAUCCUAUGGAUUUUAGCCCAACUGGAUAAUCCAUGAAGCAUUAGCCCACUAUAUAAGUAUGGAUGAUUUACACAAUCAACCCAUAUAUUUAAUUAGUCUCUAUUUGAUCACUUAAUUAAUUCCAAAUUAAUUCUUGAUCAAUACUAAUUAAAUAAUAUUAUUAAUAUAUUAGAACUUAUAAUAUAUUAAUAAACCAUAAGUGUUAUUUCUCUCAUUUUAGUCUAUCCAAACGCAUGAUGCCAUGCAACCCAAAUGGACCAUGCCAAACCGGGUCAAGUACAUACCAUAAAUAGUUAUGGACUUAGACACCUUACCCAACAGUCUCCCACUUGGAUAAUAACUAUAAUUACACGUAUGACUUGAGGAACCGAUCAGCAAUCGUAGCACUUUCAAGGUCUCUCGAAACUGAGAUGAUGAUGAUACACCAUUUAAGAUAAGUGAUCACAUAGUCCUCUGUUCUAGAUAUCAGCCGAACAAAUACAUGGAACAAUGUCUUACUUAUUGUCCAACAGGUUGUUUCCCGAUUUCCAAUUUGUUUGACAAAGAACUUAAUCGAACACAUCAAUUUAGUUCUGACCGGGCCCGGUACACAGGUCAAAACAAAAUCAUCGAGGGGCCCAUAUAUCACUUCUAAUCCAAGAAGGAACAGAUAAACUUCGACUCGUAUGCUUGUUCUACUACUUGUUAAAUCACACACUAAAGCACGUUUUAUAGCAUCGAGUUACCAAUACGUUUUCGUACAAUCAAUGCAUAACCAACUCAUAGGCAACAACUCAUAUCUCUAGGUUUGAAGACUUAUAUGAUAUUACUGUCUCACGAUCACUCGAGAUAAAUUCCAUGAAGUGAUACCAGUAAGCAUGGGUUGAGUCCAAUACUCAGAACUUAUGAGUACUCAUGAAGUGUUGUAGCGCCACUUUGCUAUGUCCAACAACUUAGACAUCUACAAGCCAACCUCAUAACAGUCCUGAUUCAUAUCUACUUCCGACAUAUGACCGACUGUAGAGAAUUUGAAUAAUAUGUAAUACAUAAAUAUUCUGGAAUUUAAAAAAGGCAAAAGAAAUAAUAGUAAACGGUUGACAAAGGAUAUCAAGACUUUAAUCAUAAAUAAACACACCUUUUAUUCAUCAUCAAAUGUCAAUUACACUUUACAAAUUUCAGAGCUAUCUAACUACUAAAACUAAAAUCAUCCUUCAGCCCUAUGCGCCCCGCAUGCUGGAGAAGCUUAACCCUACCCACUCCCUUCGUGAGGGGAUCUGCUGGAUUCUCAUCCGAUGAUACCCUCUUUGCCACAAGGAGUCCUUCUUUCGAUAUCUGAUGAAAUGGUAUUUUCUGUCGAUGUGUCUGGAUCUCCCGUGAUCCCUUGGUUCCUUGGCUAAGGCAACUGCACUUUCACUAUCAUAGAAAAUUUCCAUGGGCUCCUUUAUAGUUGGUACUACUCCAAGGUCUCCAAUGAAGUUCUUCAGCCAUAUCGCCUCCUUUGCUGCCUUGCUUGUUGCUAUAUACUCUGAUUCACAAGUUGAAUCAGCCACUGUCUCCUGCUUGGAAUUUUUCCAAGUAAUUGCUCCUCCGUUUAAGGUAAAGAUCCAGCCCGACUGAGAGCGGAAAUUACACCUAUCAGUCUGGAAGAUAGCAUCACUAUACCCUACAACUCUCAAGUCAUCACUCCCACCGAGGGUAAGGACCCAGUCCUUAGUCCUCCGCAGGUACUUGAGAAUAUUCUUUACCGCAAUCCAAUGAGCAUUGCCAGGGUUUCCCUGAUAUCUACUGACCAUGCUCAAUGCAAAGGCCACAUCAGUACGAGUACAAGUCAUAGCAUACAUGAUCGAGCCUACAACGAAAGCAUAAGGUACUCGACUCAUUUCUGCUACCUCAGCCUCGGUACUCGGGCUCUGAGUCUUACUCAAUAUGGCGUUACUCUUGAUAGGUAACUCUCCUUUCUUGGAAUCCUGCAUGCUGAACCUAUUCAGUACCUUAUCCAUGUAGGUACUCUAACUAAGUCCAAUUAGUCUUUUACUCCAGUCUCUCAAAAUCCUUAUCCCUAGAAUAUAGGCAGCUUCUCCUAGGUCCUUCAUAGCGAAACACUUCCCAAGCCAAGACUUCACUUCCUGCAAGGUUGGGAUGUCAUUUCCUAUGGGUAGUAUGUCAUCUACAUACAAUACCAAAAAGCUAAAUAUACUCCCACUAGCCUUGACAUAUACACAAGAUUCAUCUUCACUCCUCGAAAAGCCAAACUCUUUGACUUUCUCAUCGAGACAAAGAUUUCAUUUGCAAGGUGCUUGUUUCAAUCCAUAGAUGGAUUUCUCAAGCUUACACACUCUAUUAGGGUACUCUGUACUGACAAAACCCUUUAGCUGAUUCAUGUAAACAUCCUCAGCCAACUUUCCAUUAAGGAAAGCAGUUUUGACAUCCAUUUGCCAUAUUUCAUAGUCAUGAAAUGCAGCAAUGGCUAACGUAACCCUAAUAGACUUAAUCUUUGCUACCGGUGAAAAAGUUUCAUCAUAAUCAACUCCCAGAUUUUGAGAAUAGCCCUUCGCAACUUGUCGCCUUAUAAGUGUGUACAUUACCAUCCAUGUCAGUCUUCUUCUUGAAGAUCCAUUUGCACGCAACUAUCUUACGACCUGGUACAUUGUCAACCAAGUUCCAAACUUGAUUCUCAUACAUGGAUUGUAUCUCGCUGUCCAUUGCCUCUUUCCAUUUAGCAGACUCGGGGCCUACCAUAGAUUCCGCAUAGUUGUUAGGUUCAUCCAGACUUACCAGUGUCUCAUCACUGAUAACUGUAUCACCUUCUGCGGUAAUAUGGAAACCAUAGUAGUGCUCAGGUGCAUUCCUAACCCUUAUGGAACGCCUCAGAGGUACAUAUUCGUCAAUUGGGUCAACAAGAGUUUCCUCCUUAGGUUGACUACUAGGGUUUGAGGUUCCUUCACCACUUGACUCUAGAAUUUCUUCAAGGUCAAUCUGCCUCCCACUGUUUCCUUGGCUUGUGAACUCUCUUUCUCGAAAGACACCCCUUCUUGCUACAAAGACCACAUUCUCACUGGGUCUGUAGAAAAAGGUAACCAAAGGAUUUCUGUGGGUAGCCGAUGAAAAUACUCCUCUCACUUCGAGGUUUGAGUUUAUCGUGAGUCUUGCGUCUCACGAACGCCUCGCAACCCCAAAUCUUGAUGUUGGCUAGAUUAGGAACUUUUCCAGUCCACAUCUCGUGAGGUGUUUUGUCAACCUUUUUUGUUGGGACUAGAUUAAGGAUAUGGGCAACAUUCUCUAAGGCAUACCCCAGAAUGAGAUUGGUAGAGAAGCUUGACUCAUCAUGGAACGAACCAUAUCCAACAAGGUUUGAUUUCGCCUUUCAGCCACACCAUUCAACUGUGGUGUCCUGGGAGGUGUCAAUUGUGAGACAAUCCCACAUUCCUUAAGAUAGUCGAGGAACUUUGUACUAAGAUACUCACCACCACGAUCGGAUUGAAGCAUCUUAAUGUUCCUGCCCAAUUGAUUAUCGACUUCUUUUUUAAACUCUUUAAGCCUUUCAAAAGUCUCUGACUUAUGCUUAUACUAUAAUCAUCUGUAAAAGUCACAUAAUAACGAUUAACAUCCCUUGUGGCAGUUUUGAAGGGUCCACACACAUCUGUGUGCACUAGAUCCAACAAACCUUCACCCCUUGCACAAGAACCAGUAAAGGAUGACUUUGUCAUUUUUCCAAGUAAGCAUGAUUCACAACUAUCAUUUGACUUUAUGUCAAAUGACUCCAAGACUCUAUCCUUUUGGAGUUGGCCUAUGCGUUUCUUGCUUACAUGUCCAAGACGACAAGGUCAUAAUGAUGAUUUAUCCAAGUUAUUAUUAGAAGAAGAAUCAAUACACAACACAUUAUUUCCUAGGUUAUCUACAACAGACACAACUUCAUACACAUAAUCACAAGGUAAUGCUUUAAAAUAAAGAACAUUAUUAAAGAAAAUAUUUAUUCCACCAACUUCAUUAUCAAAAGAAAAUAUAAACCCUUGUUUGUACAAGGCAUGAAAGGAAAUAAUAUUUCUUGCCAUUCCAUUAGAUUAACAACAUUUAUUCAAAUCUAAUGUAAACCCACCGUAACGCCCGCAGAUCCGGGCUAGUCAAUUUAGAGGCAAUAGGGGUCGAAAACGACUUUUAGACAAAAGAUUAUUUAGAAUAAAUAAUCUUAACCAAGUUUUAGGAUAUGUCACAAGGUUUCCGUACAUAUAAAGAACGCCGAAAUCUGAGUUAUAACAAAGAAGUUAUGACCCGUCAAAGUUUUGCGACGGAACCGACACGACACCGGGAAACGUAAAUAGUGAAUUUACGGUAGAGCGAGUUUUAGCCUUAGCAAUCUAAACGAAAGUCGUAGAAUAUGUUAAACUGAAAGAGUCCAUAAAAAGAACGCCCAAAUCUGACUUCAUAUGAGGAAGUUAUGAUUUUUCGAAGUUUUGGCUUAACGGUGUACAACUCGAAAUUUGAAUAUUGGAUCGAGCAGUCUUUAGCCGACACAACCUAAACGAGAAUCCAAGAUCUUGUUAUUUGUAGCGUAUCGAUAAAAAGACAGACGAAAACGGACGUCGGAUGAAGAAGUUAUGAAUUUUUAACGGACCAAUCGUGUCCUGGUCUGUUAAUAAUAUAACUUUUAAAAUAAAGUCAAAAUUAGCCGAUGGAGUCUAAACGAAAGUUGUAUAGUACGUUCCCCCCUACAAGUGGAUAUAAACGUCGAAAACGGAGCUCGUAUGCGAAAGUUAUGAUUUUUAGAAGUCGGAAAGUGAAUUUGCGAAAUCUGCAAGGAAGUGGUGACGUGGCCAAAUCCCAGCCGUUGCUUGUUGAGCACGGCCUUGCAUCUGAUGAUCGCCACGGAGUCUCGUAUUAUGCCCCGCGUCCGAAGCUGGGUACGCCCGGCGUACUUGAUCUUGUCCGGGUCUGAGNAGUGGAUGCGAGCCAGCUGGUGCGAGCUGGCAUCCUUAUCUGAGGAACGCCCAGCAUAGCCAAGGACUACGCCCAGCGUAAUCCGAGGCCUCGCUGGGUAUAAAAGGGGGGCGAAGGUUCCAACUUUUUCUCACAUUUCUCACUUCUCUCUCUAGUUUCUUUCUCUCUCUGAAGCCCCAAGGCUCCCGGAGUCCCAAGAAAAAAGGGUCUUUCGGUUUCGGAAACGCUGCUCCAAGCAAAACCUGGUUUUCUUUAAAAUCCGUUGUAAGUGAGCUAUGCUUAUGCAAUUUUUAAUAUAGCUUUCAAAUAAUUAUAGUAAUGUUAUUAGGUCCUUAAAAUAAUUAUUUGGGUUAUUAUUAUGAGUUAUAGUGAGUGUUAUUUAACGCUUAUAUAAUAGCAAUAAUAGUCAGACUAUUAAUUUGUCGCGGUUAUCAUUAGACUAAACUCUAGUGAUAAUGAUACUAGGUUUUAUCGAAGGAAAAUUGUUUUAAGGGUAUCGAAGCGCUAUCUGAGUACCGAGUCACCACCGUAUCAGGUGAGUGCAUGGCCAUUUUCAUCUUACACAUAGAUAUGAAGUAUUUUAUAUAAAUUACGUGUUAUGUGUGCAUAUUAUCUGAAUACUUGUUGUCUAUGUUGGAUAAAUGAUUUUAUACAUGUUUUAAAUGAUUUAAACUGUAUAUUUAUUUUAUAUCUACAAAUAUGUUGGGAUAAAACAUAGGUAGAUGAAAUAGUUGGUGUGUGAUGAAAUAAAAUACUGAGAGACAGGUGAUGGUAGGUAGGUGAUGAUAAUUAGGUGAGGAUAGAUAGGUGAUGACGAAUCGGUGAUGUAGGAUAUUACAACCUUGUCCGACAAUUUGGAGAUGUAGUCAUCUACCAGAGUAUAGAUGGCGACCACGGACUAUUAUAGACAACCCCGUGGAAACACCAGCAGGCUCAUAACCUGUAGGUGAUGAAUUAAGAGUUCAGGCGAUGUUGUAACUACGUAUUCAUGCGAUGAUACUCUAACCCCCUUACUAUGAAUUACGAGUUCAGGCGAUGUUGUAACUACGUAUUCAUGCGAUGAUACCCAAACCCUUGGUGGGCACGUAUUAAGGGAGUAAUCCCUGAAUCAAUACUGUCCAGGCGAUGUAGGCGAUGAUCCUUAGGGAGAGUCCAUAGGAACAAACAUAUAAGGAGACGCGAUGUAAGGAGAUGAGAGGUAAAUAUGAUGUAGGAGACGACCCUUAGGAUAAAUCCUUAGGGAUAGUACUUAGGAAUAAAGAAGAUAAUGGGUAUGGGUAAUUGGGUUAAUUGUUUGAUGAUUGAACAUAAUAAUUAUAUUAUUGUGGGUUGAAAACCCUAUGUACUCACCAGGUUUCCCAACCUGACCCACUCAGUUUAUUUAUAUCACAGGUGUCGAUAUGAAGUCACAUUACACUGAGAGAUUAAAGAGAUGUAGAUCACUAGUGUAAAUAAAUGUAAGUUCNNNNNNNNNNNNNNNNNNNNNNNNAGGCUCGUUUAAGCUUGUUUAUGCUCGCGAACCCAUUAAUUGAAGCUCAGCUCAAGCUCGUUUAAUAAACGAGCCUCAUGUUUAGGCUCGAGCUCGGCUCAGGCUCGUUUAAUUCGAUCUUGAGUCGAGCUUUUAACGAGUCGAUCCCGAGUAGCUCACGAGUAGCUUGGCUCACUUACACCCCUAAUAAUGGCGAUGGGUAAUUGGGUUAAUUGUUUGAUGAUUGAACAUAAUAAUUAUAUUAUUGUGGGUUGAAAACCCUAUGUACUCACCAGGUUUCCCAACCUGACCCACUCCAGCUUAUUUAUGUCACAGGUGUUGUUAUGAAGUCACAUUACACUGAGAGAUUAAAGAGAUGUAGAUCACUAGAGUAAAUAAAAGUAAGUUCUGUUUAUGCUUAUGUUUCUGUAUUGACAAUGACAUCCCAAACGUUUUAAAAUGAAUAAAAUACGUUUCUUCGAAAAUGUUUUGAUAACGUAUUUAUCGUGUUUUUUUGGGAACAAGUUCCGCAACAUUUUUUAUGAAAAAGAAGUACUCUGAUUUUUAUAAAGCAUAAACAAAAUCGGUCUUUUCUGACCGUGAAAAUGGGGAUGUCACACCCACUACUUAGCAACAAAGAAUAAACUCCAAUCUUGGUGACAGGUGAAGCUUUCCUAUUCCCCAUGAUCAAGUUUAUCUUUCCAUUCUCCACAUUCUCAUUUUUUCUUAGUCCCAGCAAAUCAGAACAUAUGCGAAUUCCACAACCUGUAUCAAGGACCCAAGAGUUAGAAUAGGGUGAGUUAUUAGACAAUAUUGUGUAAAUACCUGCAUGGGUGGGUUUUACUUUCCCAUCCUUAAUAUAUUGUUGGUACUUUGGGCAGUUCCGCUUCCAAUGCGAUCUUUCAUGGCAAUAGAAGCAUUCAUCCUCUUUUGGGUCAGAAGAAAGAGUGAAGAAACCUUUUUUGGUUCCACUUGAAGAGGAGCCAUCAAGGGUCUUACCCUUGGAACCCUUCGAAGGGUUCUUCCUCUUUUUCCCUCUACUUUUCCCAAUUGCCAGGACAGGGGCGGAGUUUGGAGUAGGAGUAGGAGUGGUAACAACCGACUUACCUUUAAGACCAGUUUUAGCGGUCUUUAGGAGACCUUGAAGCUUGAUGAGGGUAACUUCUUCCUUGUUCAUGUGGUAUGUCAUACGGAAUUGAUCAUAACACGAGGUUAAGGAGUGUAAAAUGAUAUAUGUUGCCAACUCCUCGAGGAAGUUCAGAUUAAGUUUCAGCAACCGGUCCACAUACCUUUGCAUUUUCUGCAAGUGGCCGGUGAUGGGUUCACCAUCCUUCAUUCGGGUUGUUAUCAUGGAGUAGAUGAUGUCACACCUUUCUUGUCGAGCACUCUGAUGGUAGCGGUCCAUCAAGUCCUAGUGCAUCUUAAAAGGGUAAUUGAUAUGGGCAUAUUUAGUUAAAAAAUUCAUGCAUUAUCUUAAUACUUUAUGUUGAUUUUAUCUCAUUUAAUGAACAAAAGGUACUUAAUUAGUUUAUAAUUUCAUUUUUCAGCAAAAAUUACAUGCUCGGACGGAAAAGGAAGCGGAAUUGGCGAUUGGACGCUUGGAUCUUGGAUUUUGAAGAAAGAAGGAUGUUGCUGGACAGCUUGACCCCUCGUCAGUGUUUUGGCCAUAUCUUAUGAACCGUAACCCCGAUUGACGAGAUUCGAAAUGUUCUGAAAGGUAGACACAAUUUCGGACGACUUUCGUGUUUCGAGGAAAUGCUGAUCCGAAACGUACUCAGCGAGUAGGGUCGAUUAAUCGGCGAGUUGUAUCGAACUUUCGCGAUUCUGGACGCGCUGACUUGCCGUACACGGGUUUUAAGUGAUGUACUCGGCGAGUAGGUCACUGGACUCGCCAAGUAGCCUUUGUUUUGUGAAAAUCUAUAUAAAGGGACUUUCAGAUCGAUACCCUAGCAUAUAGAUGAACCCUUGGAGGCCAAUUGUCGACUAAAGGUGCUGCUGGAGCGUGGGAAGCAAGGGAAUCAACCCUACAUUCAAUUUUAAGGAGAAUCAAGUCAAAAUCAAGUUUACUCUUACCUAAUCUCUUGUUUGAACUAUGUUUUUACCAAUUGAUUUCGUUUUUGUGCUUGUUUCUGCUGUAAUCAUGAGCUAAAAACUCAUAACUUCUGUUUAGGUAGAUGAAUUUGUGAACAUGGAUUGAUUAUUUGAUUAGGAUUAAUUUUAAUUGGUGAUUAUGUUUUAUUAAGCUUGUUAAAGAACCUUAUGUGUUAACAAUAACUAUUCUUCUGUUAAUAAAUCAGUAAUUAAGUUGUAUAAACAUCUCUUAGUUGCUAAUUUCAUAUGAUUUAUGUGACCACAUAGUUGUAUGUCUAGGAAUAACGAAUGUGAAACUAGAAUUAACUUGAAGAUAGGUAAGUUAAUGUGUGAGCUUGUGUGAUACACCAUCAACAAGAGGUUAAUUGAAUCACCAAUUUGAUUAGCUGAUUACAAGUCUUUCUAAACCCGAAUCAACAAACUAGGAAAUUCAUUAAUUUAGACAACUGGCCAUUGUUUGAAUUAAUCUGUUUUCUAAGGAUUAGCUAUAGCAAAUGUGAAUCUAAUCACUUUAGUCGGUAACCAAUGAAGAAUUAAUCCGAUAUAUUUACCAUAAAAUCAUCCAUGGGAACAAAUGAUUCGAACCUAAACAGAAGGCCUUUUUAAUCAUUGAAUUUAGUUGAUCUUUGUUUUCUUAGCUAUUAGUUGCUUAGUUUGCGUGUUAGUAAAGUAUUUAAGUUUCUAGUCUUGCAAAACUAGAGAAAACUCUUUUUUACUUGUUUUAUUUAGAUAAUAUUAGCAUUUAUUUUAAUUGUUUACCGUUCCCUGUGUUCGAUACCCUACUUGCUUGAACUAUAUUACUAAUCGAUAGGUACACUGCCUUUCGUGUGUUUAUUUUGUGUCUAAGUUAGUAGAAUUUAAAACUAGUUUGUUUCACACACAUCAGUAAUAGUCCUCAUAGGACUUUUGGAGUUCAUUUUUCAUAGUAGCGAUCAUGAUACAUGCCACUUUGGUGGCAUCUCUUUCAUGAGCGCGGAAGUCAGCGAUCUCCUAAGGGGUAGCAGUGGACUCAUCAAUUUCCUUUAGCUCCUUAUCAAGGACAUAUUCCUUGUCUUCGUAGCGAGUGAUCAUCCCGAUGUUCCGGAUCCAAUCCAUAAAGUUGGAACCAUCAAAUAUGACUCUCCCGCAAAGGUUCAUGAGAGAGAAGGAGCCGGUAGGGUUUGAGCUAGAAGCAACAUUGUUGGAAGACAUCUGAAAAGAAUAAAAACAAGUUUAGAUUAGAUAUAAAGAUAGUCAUUAAUAAAACACCCAAAUGUAAUAUUAAGGCUAGGACCCAAUCACAAUAUAUUAUAACAUAGAAGAGGGAUGUCGUAAUCUAAGCUAUAACAUAUUUGAAAGGUAGGUGAACGACGAUUCACUAAUUUCCACCAUGAAAAAUGAAAUAUAAAUUAUUAGGUUUUAAUUGGUUUUUAGAAACUCUUAGAUUCUUUUGAGAUUCAUUGAACUUUUCAAUGGCAUGUUUCAAUCUCGAGUAUGCCCUUCAGGUUUUGUGACUGGGAUGCCGAGGAUCACAAAAUGAGAUGUGAAGUAACCAUGCAAAUUACAUGGUACCCUUAAUGUUUUUCACUCAAUCGAUGUGCCGGUUAGCCACACAUGCUCCAUCGACCUAUGAAAAACCUUAAGUCACCCUUUGCCUACCUUGUUAAGUCUAAGUUAGUGUGUUUGUUAACCACACACGCUCCACUAACGACUUAAUCAAAGUGCAAAUUGUAAUUUCAUGGGUUAGCACCUUAUUCACAUUUUCCUAAAGUAACUAAUAUUGAGAAUUUAUAAAAAUAUUUAGUUACUUUAUAAUAAUCAUUAUACUUUUAGUGAGAAUUUUUAUGUCAUUGUCCUACCCGUUCGGCUAACGACCCUCCACUAGUCAAGGAAGCGGUGGGUGAGAGUGGACACCUAUUAAGCUGUCAUUUUAUAGGCAACAACCUUNNNNNNNNAUAUAUAUAUAAUUAACUUAUAAUAUUAUAAAGUAUAAGGGUUGAAUUUUAACUUUUAAAAUUCUAGGGGUUGGAACUAAAGUUUACUAGAUGACUUUACAUGUUCCAAAACUUGAGGGCAAGUUUUGUAACUUUACAAAACUUUUCAAUUCAUAACUUAUGAGUCAAAUGGUUCAUUAAAAUGAGUGACUUUUCAUUUUAUGUAACCUAUGUGUUUAAUAAUGGACUUUAAAAGAAAAACUUUUGGUAAUCCAUAACUUGAGGACAAAUUAUGGAUUCCAUUAAAACACAUAAUAAUCAUGAAUUAAGCAUUAAAAAAUUUUAACAAGUAAUUCCUAAGAUCUAUCAAGAACUCAUAAGAACAUGAAUAUUCAUAUCAAAAUUUCAAGAACAUAUGAACACGUAUAAACAUGGAAUUUUGAUAUUAGCCAUUGUAAAUGGAUUAGAACAACCAUUACACCAUCUAAAACAAGUUUAAAACACUAAAACAGUUUAGGGUAAUGUUUCUAGUCCAUUUCCAGCAGCAAAAAUCGAAAAUCUGCACUCUGCCUGGCUGACUCGUCGAGUGCAAGAACUGACUCGCCGAGUUGGUUGCAGAUACGAUAGCAAGAAUUUAGACCUUUUCAGCUAUUUUGCAUCAAGUAUCAAAUAAACAAGUCUAGGCUCUGAUACCACUGAAGGGUUUUGAGCAUUCUAACAUACCUAAGGUGUACAUGCAACCCUAGAAACCUUGGAUCUAUGUUUGACUAAGAUAAAUGAAAAUUUGAUUUUCCAAGGCUCAUAACCUGUCUAGCAUACAUGGGGAACUUUUAAACAUAAAAGUUAGUAAGAAAACAUACCUUGUAGUACUUUGGAUUCCUUGAGAACCUUGUGAGCCUAGAACCCCAAGUAUGAUGCCUCAAAUGUCUCACACAACACCAAAUGCACUUGUAAUAAACUUGAGAGAAAUGUCACACUACUUGAAAUCAACUAGCCCUCUUCUUUCUUACUUAAGUACCGAUUUUGGUGAACAUAAGGAUCCUUAUAUAGUGUGUUACAAUUAGGGUUACACCAUGUAAACCCUAAUUGUCAUGACUUUUCAUUUCCAUGACCCAUGGGUUCUACAAACACCAUGGAGCAUCCUAUGGGUUUUAGCCCAACUUGAUAAUCCAUGAAGCAUUAGCCCACUAUAUAAGUAUGGAUGAUUUACACAAUCAACCCAUAUAUUUAAUUAGUCUCCUUUUGAUCACUUAAUUAUUUCCAAAUUAAUUCUUGAUCAAUACUAAUUAAAUAAUACUAUUAAUAUAUUAGAACUCAUAAUAUAUUAAUAAACCAUAAGUGUUAUUUCUCUCAUUUUAGUCUAUCCAAAUGCAUGAUGCCAUGCAACCCAAAUGGACCAUGCCAAACCGGGUCAAGUACAUACCAAAAAUAGUUAUGGACUUAGACACCUUACACAACAAGAAUAUCAAUGGAUUCUCCACUCGUGAGUUUGAUUAGAGAGGCUCAUGCUUAGGGUAUGUGACCGGAGAAUGGGAAAAUGAAGAGGAUCAGGGGCGAGAACGCAUGAUUUGUGCAUGAUAGUCGGGGAUUGUUGACUCGAUGCGGUCGGGUAUGGGUUCCAAUGUCUGGUGGGGUCAGACAGACAGUUAUGGAGGGGGCUCAUAAAUCUCAUUUCUCUAUUCACCCGGGAGCCACUAAGAUGUAUCAGGGUUUGUGUUUGAGCUACUGGUGGUCGUGCAUGAAGCGAGAAAUCGCUUGGUACGUCGAGAGGCGCUUGACCUCCUGGAUGGUCAAGGCAGAGCAUCAGAGGCCGCAUGGCAAGCGGUAGCCUCUAGAGAUUCCCAUGUAGAAAUGGGAACAAAUCACAAUGGACUUCAUUACUAAGUUGCUGAGGAUGGCGAAGGGAUUUGAUGCUAUAUGGGUCAUCAUGGAUCGAUUGAACAAGAGUGCCCAUUUCCUAGCCAUACGGGAGAGCUCAUCGGCCGAGAAGCUGUCUGACAUGUAUGUCCGCGAGAUUGUUGCUUUCCACGGAGUUCCGGUCUCUAUUGUUUCCGACCGUGAAGUUAGAUUCACCUCCCGCUUCUGGUAAAAGUUCCACGAGGAGCUGGGCACGCGGCUGCACUUUAGUACGGCUUUUCAUCCGCAGACCGAUGGCCAGAGUGAGCAGACCAUACAAACCCUUGAGUACAUGUUGAGGGCUUGUGUUAUCGACUUCGGUGGGAGUUGGGAUUCCCACGUACCCCUUGUAGAGUUCGCCUACAACAACAACUAUCAUUCGAGAAUUGGUGCCCCACCUUUUGAGUUGUUGUACGAAUGGAGAUGUCGCACCCCGGUCAGUUCGGGUGAGGUUCGUCACAGAGUGAUGGGGUGGAUAGAGGUAGUUUUGCAAACUACUGAGAAACUCAGUAGAUUAGACAGCGAUUGUAUACCGCUCAGAGUAGACAUAAGAGCUAUACCGACCGGCGCUGAUCAGAGUUAGAGUUUCAGGUCAGUGGCAUGGUACUCUUGAAGGUCUCGCCCUGGAAGGGUGUGAUCCGCUUCAGGAAGAGGGGGAAAUUGGGUCCCUGAUACAUCGGUCCAUUGAGGAUCAUUGCCAGGGUUGGCAAGGUGACAUAUAGACUAGAGCUACCGGAGGAGCUUAGUCAAAUCCACAACACUUUCCAUGUGUCCCAGUUGUGGAUGUGCGUAAUAGAUGAGGCAGCACUAGUGUCCUUGGAGGACAUACAGGUCGACAAGCACCUGAAUUACAUAGAGAGACCAGUGGUCAUAAUGGAGAGGAAAAUGAAGGUUUUAUGGAACAAGAAAGUACCUUUGGUAAAGGUAUAAUGGGAGCACCGAAGAGGGUCUGAGUGGACAUGGGAGCCGGAGGCUAAGAUGCGGGAGCACUAUCCGGAGUUGUUCACCGCAGCGAAGUUCGAGGACGAAGUCUAGUUCAAGUGUGGGAGAAAUGUAACACCCCGACUCUUAGGUAUUAACUUUACAGAUUUAUUUUUCAUAUUUGAAAGGUCUACUCGACAAGUUGGAUGCCCUGAAUCGUCAAGUAGGAACGUUUUUAGCCACGUGUUUAAGUGACCAACUCGACGAGUCGGGGGAAACGACUCGACGAGUUGGAGCUGGAGGAUGAAACCUUAAUUUAUGGGGUUUUGCACCCUAUUUAAAGGUCAUUAGCCUCCCUUACAGCCCCCUUUGAGCUUAGAAACCCUAAAUCGCCGUUUUUCUCUCUUUUGUGUGAUAUUAAGCCUUGAGGUGGAUUGUGGAAGGAAGAUCUUGAAGUACUCAAGCUUGGAACAAGAAGAAGGUUGUAGAUCCAAGUCCUGCUUCAUCUUAGCAUCGUUUUUGAGGUAAUAAGUUGUUAUCUUGACCUUUUUCUAUCAAGAUCUAUUCAUGUAUGAGAUUAGGGCCAUUUUAGCCAUGUUGUUAUUUUAUUUCAAGCAUUGGGUGUCAUAUGAAGUUGCAGCUUCAGAUCUAGGCUUAUCUUGGUCUCUAAGAUCAUAAAGUUUCAGCUUUUAGUGAGUUAAUACCUUUUUCAUCCCUUAGAACCUCUUAUAUACCUUGUUUUAACGAUUUGAGCCUUGCAUGUACGUAAAGUUUGCAACUUUACAUGACAAACGUGCCCUAGGAGGCUAGAUCUACUGAUUGGAGCAUUGGAGUAGCUUAGAAUCACCUGGACAUGGGAUGGACCGCACUCGAUGAGUCGGAUAAUCCAAAUCGACGAGUUGGGGAGGGUUUUCCCAUUUUUGGUUCUGAAUGGACUCACGAGUCAGCAUGACGACUCGACGAGUCAGUUAGAGUUUUCUUGAUAAUUGGACACACACAGAUUCGACGAGUUGCCUGGAAACUCGGUGAGUCAACUGGAGGUUUUCACGACUUCUUGAAUUAUGGAAGGACUCGAUGAGUCAGUGAACUGCACUCGACGAGUCGGGUCAACAUGGACUGUUGACCUUGACCAUUGACUUUGACUUUGACAAAGGGUUGACUAGUUGACUUCUGGGGGUAUUUUAGUAAAUUGGAAAUUUAUGGAAAUGGUCUUAUGGUAAAUAUAGGUGUUGGAGUCUGUGGUCGUGGUUCGAGAGUUUGAGGGCCUGGGGUAUUCCAACUCGAUGGUUGAUUGGACCCAUAGUAUGCUGUUUGUGAUUAUAUGUUAUUGUUGUAUGUAUGAGUAUUUUGGGGGAAACUCGUUAAGCUUUGGGCUUAUAGUUUCAGUUUUGUUUCAGGUACAUUAGAUGAUCGCAGGAAGACAAAUGUGUGAUUGUACAGCUCCUCACAUUUAUGACUUUGUUUCUGGGAUACUCUGAUAUUAUACUAUUUUGAAACAAGUUUUGUAAUGUUUAAACAGUUUUGAAAUGUUUUAAAAAGUUUAAAUUUGGCAUGAUUUUAUGGGUGUUACAAAUUUAAAAUCUAUGCCAAAAGUAUAAAUUUUGGAUUAAAUUUGUAAUAAAAUUUGAAAUAUAUGGCAAAUGUGUAAUUUUGAAAGUUAGAUGAUCUGUUGACCGGGUAAAAGGGUUAAAUUGAAUACGAUUACCGAUUUUUGGGAUUAAUUGAAUAAAAAAUAUAAAAUAACUAAAUCGAUUAUAAGGUCAAUAUGUAAGAAUUUUUUUUGUAGUUUUCUCUUAAAUAUAUUUUCUAUUUCGUAGAUUUUAUUUGAUGAGUUCAUAGUAUUAUAUCAAUUUCAUAAGUGAAAUCUUAGAAAUUGGUAAUUAUUUUAAGUUUUUUUUCUUAAAUUUUGAAGAAAAGCUUAGAAGAUUAGUUGUUUUUUUGUCUCUUUCUCUACAAAAAGUUAAAAGAUAUUGAUAAAUAAAUAAUAAAAGGUAAAAGAUACUUUUUCUGUCCCAAAUUAAUUAUCAAAUUUUUAUUUUUAAAGUUUUUUUUCUUCAACUUUGAACUUAAAUAUUUUUAUAUCUGUUAUAUAUUACUUGAUGAAACUUAUAACAAUGAAAAAACAUUUAAAAUAUAAUCCAUUCAUAAAUUUUACAUCAAGUAUUAUCUAUCAAAAAGAAAAAUAUUUAAGAUCAAAAUUGAAGAAUAAAAACUUGAAAAGUCAAACGUUGACAAUUAAUUUGGGACGGAGAUAGUAAAAAUUAUUUCAUAUCUAUUUAAAUUGAAAAAAAAAAACAUACCAACAUAUAGCAUGAAAUAAUAAAUGAUAUAAUUUGAACUUCUAUAAUAUAAUAGUCUCUUGAAAAAUAAUUAUUUAAAAAACUUAAAACAAAAAGCUAUUUUUAUCUUCAUAAUUUUUUCUACAUGUUUUCUUAUAAGACCCAUGUAUAAGUUAUAUUUUUACAUUUUCUUGAAAAAUCAACAAAAUCUAAAUGACCACCAAAUCAUUAUAAAAGAUGUUCUAGUAUAAAAACUUGUUAUUUAACAAGCUAUUCGAAAAGAAAUAUAUAUAUUCCAAUAGUUUUAAGUUUCAAUAAGAUUUUUAGGAUGGAAAAGCUCUAUAAAGAAAAAUCCAAUGAACUUAUAUUAUGGUAUUUUAUGAUAUGAUUUUAGAUUUUAGAAACCACACAAAGAAAUAGAGAAUGAGAUUUGUCCACAUAAAGUGAGAGAUGUAGCCAAGACAAAAGUCACAAAACUUAACAAAUUUCAUGUACCUCGACUACGUGGCGCUUUUCUGGCCACUCUUAGCAUUUGCCUAACAUACGCAUUUUUUUUCUUUACCUGUAACCUCACCAACUGUAACGACCCAUUUAAUUACCUUCAACCACAUGACUGUUUUUUCACGGAAUACAUUAGCAUAAACUCAUUAAUUUUUUUUAUCAAAAUUAUUAUUUAAUGAUAAUAACUUUAUUUUAGAUUAAAAAAAUCUAAGUAAGGGACUCACAAAUUGGUUUUAAAUAGAGUUAUUGACUUAUUUCUAUUUUGUAUACAUUUUAUAAGACAAUUAAAAUUAUAUUUCCUUCAUUAUCCACAACAAAUCUGAACCGUCCAUACUCUCAAAUCUAACGAUGGGAACCACCACCGUAUCCUAAACCAUAUCCUCAGAAAUCUUACAAAGACACCCUUCACUUCACUCCACUUCACCACCAGUCCACCACCAUGGCUUCCGUCGCUCUCAAAUCUUUCGUCGGACUCCGCCAAACAUCGCCGGAAAAUCACCAUUCAUCCAUCGCCACUCUUUCCAAGCCCAUUUCCACCAAUCAAAUCCAUUACCGUCGGCUUAAUGUUGUCGCCGGUAAGUCUAGCCCCAAAAUCACUGGCCGUAACCUUCGCGUCGCUGUCAUCGGUGGUGGACCCGCAGGAGGCGCAGCUGCUGAAACCCUUGCGAAAGGCGGAAUUGAGACGAUUCUGAUCGAACGCAAAAUGGACAACGCUAAACCAUGCGGCGGCGCAAUCCCACUCUGCAUGGUCGGAGAAUUUGACUUGCCCUUAGAUAUCAUCGACCGCCGUGUCACCAAGAUGAAGAUGAUCUCCCCGUCGAAUGUCGCCGUCGACAUCGGUCGAACCCUCAAACCUCACGAGUACAUCGGCAUGGUCCGCCGCGAAGUCCUCGACGCUUACCUCCGUGACCGCGCCGCCGCGGCUGGGGCAACAGUAAUCAACGGUCUUUUCUUCAAAAUGGACAAACCAACCGACAAAUACGCACCUUACGUCCUCCAUUACAACGCGUAUGACGGCAAAGCAGGAUCCGCCGGAAAGAGAGAGACUAUCGAGGUCGAUGCAGUAAUCGGAGCCGACGGUGCUAACUCCCGUGUCGCAAAAUCCAUCGACGCCGGUGACUACGAGUACGCCAUAGCGUUCCAAGAACGCAUCAAAAUCCCAGCCGAUAAAAUGCAAUACUACGAAGACCUCGCAGAGAUGUACGUCGGAGACGACGUUUCGCCGGAUUUCUACGGCUGGGUGUUCCCAAAAUGCGAUCACGUGGCUGUCGGAACCGGAACUGUCACUCACAAACCCGAUAUCAAAAAAUUCCAACUUGCCACGCGCCUACGUGCCCGUGACAAGAUCCUCGGCGGUAAGAUCAUCCGGGUAGAAGCUCACCCGAUCCCGGAACACCCACGGCCGCGGAGACUGGCGGAGAGAGUGGCGCUUGUAGGAGAUGCAGCAGGGUACGUCACCAAAUGUUCCGGCGAAGGCAUCUACUUCGCGGCGAAGAGCGGGCGGAUGUGCGCGGAGGCGAUUGUUGAGGGAUCGGAGAACGGGAAAAGAAUGGUGGAU
rnacentral:lncRNA from 1 species